UGUGUGUGUGUGUGGUCCACCCAAAACAAGUCAUUCUUUAAUUCCCUAACCAGACAAAUAUACACAUAUCCUUUAAUCCAACUUAAAUUUUCCAAAACUUAGGAAAAUAUGCAUUAUUCAAAACAUGCCACACACAUACCUUAGUAACCGUCAAGGGUACUUUCGUCAUUUCACAACCUCGAUAAUCGAAUAUUUGGGACGGGCUGUGACAAAGUGUGUUAAUUGUUUUAUAGGUACAAAUUCGUUAAGACCGAAGACGACAAAUUUUUGCUAGCACAAUUUAUGUUGUGGAUAAUAUUGUCUCACUAAACCAAGUUAAUCAUUGUUAACUGAUAGGAUUUUUAUCACCCACUAAACCAAAUUAAUCAUUGUUAACUGAUAUGAUUUUUAUCACCUAAAUCACAGAGAACAAGGUUAUUGUAGUAUAGAUAGCUCGAGCAAAUCAUCCUUCAUAGGGAUUGAUAUGAAUAAGUUAUAUUUAAAAUCAAUUAUUAAUUAACUAUGCAAUACAAAAUAUAGAGAGUUGAGAUCAUAAAAUAAAUAAAAGAUUGCAAGAAAUUAAAAGUAAUGAAAUUGGUGAGAAAUUAAAUGAAAGAGAAUAAUCAAAACAAACGGUUUAGAAAAUCAAAGGUGAAAAACACUAGGGACACUAGCGUUUAGCCGUAACCAUUAACAAUACUACGUAGUUCUACCAAUUACUUACGAAUUAACACGUGCAAACUUUGAAGGUUAGGUCUUCCUAAUGCAUAUUCUACUUGCGGCAUUCAAACUAGAAUAUAUAUCUAACAAGCAAUCUGUCUGUGGCAUUCAUAUCAAAUCUAAACAUACAAGACUCAUUAAAUUUGUGAAAACCUUUUGAAAAAAUAUGAACACCUUAAGACAUGGCCUUAAAUGAAAUUACAAUUAUCAAUUACAAGAAGCCCUAAUCAAUUUCUGUAACAUCCCACAUCGCCCAGGGGAGUGGAUCCUCUAAGCCUUAUAUGUGUAUUCCCAUCUCUACCUAGCACGAGGCCUUUUGGGAGUUCACUGGCUUCGGGUUCCGUAGGAACUCUGAAGUUAAGCGAGUUCGCGCGAGAGCAAUCCCAUGAUGGGUGACCCAUUGGGAAGAUCUCAUGUGAGUUCCUAGAAACAAAAUCGUGAGGGCAUAUGUUGGAAGUAUGCCCACAAAGCCACUCAUUUGAUGUAAUAGCUUUUGGAAUACUUAUUGUAUUAAACUUUUAUAUGUUUAAUGAAGGGCAAAGCUUAUUGUUAAUCACUAUUUAUUGUAUCUUGUGUUUAAGCAAUAAGGGAAUCCAAGGAAUGUAUUUGAUCUAAGAGAUAAGUGAUUUAAGUAAGUUAGAUUAACGAAACCUUUCUCUUAUGUUCAUUCCUAAAACGUUCCUAGCCAUAGGAUUGCCAAUUGGGCAUUGACAAUCCGCUAAGGUUAGUAUGUGUUAUGUCGACUCAAGCGCGAGUAUGACAAGUCUCAAGUCAUUUAGUGUUGGACACUAAGGCAAACACAUAGGUGCUCGAAAGAGUGAUCGAGUACACUGAACAACGAUCAAAGAGAGUUCGAACAUACAUGUCAUGUAAGAACUCGAGAGUUGCAAUAUGCAAAGUAGUCCUUUGACCUGAGGCAUCAUAGAUGUCUAAUGGUUGAUCUUUGAUCAUGUUAAAGACAUUCCAUUGGAAUGUCCACGGCAUUGUUGGGGUCAAGCUAUCUAGUCGUGUAGGCAUAUGAAUGCACAACAAGGGAUCUCUAACCUUCCAUGGUGGAAGGAGAAUACUCUAAGAUAUGAUUCGAAAGUCUUUGGCCAAAGCAUAUGAAUAUGACUUAGGAAGUUUGUUCCAAAUCAUAUUCAAUUGAAUCAUAUAGAUAAGUAUCACAUUGGAUAGUAGACAUGAAACAAACUAUCACUCAAACAAUGUGAUUAAGAGUGUUGUAUUAGAGAAUGACCGUAUUGCAUUGUAGUUGUAACUGGAUAGGUUCUCCAACCACUUCUACUUAGCUUGGGUAACCAUGAUAUGCUGCUACGUGUCACUCAUGGUUUGUGGAAGCCCUAAAGAUUAGCAAACACUAAUUUUAAGGGAGAAUUGAAAUGUGGUUUCAAUUCGCAAUCGAUCGUUAAGAGUAACAACCGCCCACUACCUUGCUAAAUGGAACCUAAUGGAUCGUACACCGAAUAAGGAUGUUGGUGAAGAAAUUAAAUGAAAUGGAUAAGCAAUUAAAUGGUUUAAUUGAAGAAUGGUCAAGAUUAAUUAAUUAGUUAAUUAAUUAUACGAAAUGUUCGUAUUGGGCUUAUAUGUUGGUUUUGGGUUUCGGGGCCCAAAAGCGUUUUGGUCCACAAGGCCCAUUAUGUUUAAGUUGUAUGGCAACUAAAACAAAAUGGGCAAAUUAGCCCAAUAACAAGGUAAGGCCGGCCAUAGGGUGAGGGGUUGCAAAUUUGGAUUAAUUACAAGUUUGCCACUCACAUGUGAUGAAGUAUAAAUUCAACUUUAUAGCUUUAUUUUCAUUAAGGGUUUUUCUUGGUGAAAUGAGGUGAAACACUUUCUCUCAUUUUCUCUAAAGAGGCCGACCACUUAGAGGAGUUUUAGCUAGCAAUCUAUUCUUCUCUAAGUCAUCCAUUUCAUCUUCACAAUCACAUCCUUGGUGAAGAGACUUAGAGACAUCAAACUUCUGGUGUUUUUGGAGAACAAAUCCUCAAAUCCUCAAAUAAGCAAAGGAGCACUAAAAGGAGGAAAAUCACAAGGAAGAUCCAAGGAGCAAGGAGGUGACUUAAAGGCCCUCCACUUGGGUGAAUCCCUUGUGUAAACAAGGAUGAGCUUCAAGGGUAAAGAAACUCUAAAUCUUACCUUCUCUUUAAAUGUUGUUAAAGAGUUUAUUGGUUCACCAUUUACUAGGCUUUGAAAGUCAUGGGUUUUAUGAAUUGUUUUUUAAUGUAUGCCUACUUUAAUGUGUUAAUAGUUUGCAUAUGUAUUCAAAUGUUCUAACUUGUUCUUAGCUAGGACAAAAUUUUUCCUUCAACAUAGUCGGGGCCCAAAGCGGACAAUAUCAUGCUACGGCGGAGUCGAGCCCGGGAUGUGGUGGGGGCCUGGGCUGGGAUGUGACAAUUUCACGGCCAAUUCCACAUAAAUUGUAUUUGGUUACUUGUCUAAACAUCCUGAUGGUGAUCAGGCUCAUCACUAUUCUAAAAAUUGACCUAGGUGCUGGGCGGUGGACCCCCGCCCCGAUUUUGGGCAAGGCGUUUGCAAAAAUUGACUGGAAGCUAGGCGGCACCUAGGUGGGCUAGGUGGAGAGCUAGGCGGCACCUAGGUGGUCCUAGGAGGUUUUUUUUUAUAUAUAUUUUAUAUUAAUUGUGUGUUUUUUUCUUUGUUGGCUUAAUGGUGGUAUACUCAUGGAAAUGGUGUACCUAAUUUGCAAAUGAUGGAUUUACUACAAGUUCAUCCAAUACUUAUGGAAAUGGUGUACCUAAUUUGCAUUUUAUCAUUAUUUUAUUAUUCAUACAAGUAUAGUUUUUUUAGGUGUAAAUAGGCACUUAUUUACAAGAUAUAUAAUAAAUUUACAUAAAUCCGACUAAGCGGGCCGCCUAGGCUCUAGGCUCCUGCCUGCCGCCCGACUAGUGCCUAGCGAUUUUUAGAAUCUUGGGCAUCAUGAUAUAUAGAAAGUUUGUACACGCUGAUUCAUAAAUCAAAGCCUACAUGCAUAACAUCAUAUGUAAAUUGAAAAGAAACUAAAUAUUCAUGCUAAGACUCAUAGCCACGCCCUAUCAAAAGGAAAUUGGUUACGCAUAUUCAUAAUUGAAAAGAAAAAUAUUAUUAAGAAGAAAAAUUAAAAAUAAAUAAAAAAUAAAAAUAAAAAACCUUGUAACAAAUCGUCAAAAGCUGUCUAAACCGAGGUUCUAAUCCUCCAAAAUCACCAUAUAAUAAACUGAUAAAUAUGAUAUAUGAAUCCUAUCUAAAAUAGGUCUUCCAACAAAUUUGGAAAGCCAAAUAAAAUAAUAAAAUUAGGAAACAUAAUCCUACUUGGACAAUCUGGGCACCCAAAGAUUCCUCACGUUUUAUGACCAUAUCAACACCAAAUCAGGCCAAAAGGUGGCGUUGGAAAGAUUAGGACGUCCCCAAAUAAGCCCAAAACUUCAAACGGGGCAGCACUGUGCAGUCAACCUUCAUUUGUUAGACACGAACCAACAACAUGAAAUUAAAUUGUGAAAAUUUGAUAUAAUUAUCUUGAAAGAUUCAAGAAUACACUCCAAUUGAAAUUACUUCAAAAUUUCUUCGUUUGAUCAAUUUUUGCUCAAAGUAGAAUAACAUAUCCUACAAUUUAAAUAUAAAGCAAAGUAUCAAAUAAACUAUAACUAAAAUUAGGGUAAAAUAUAACGUAAUAUCGACUUAUCAUUAACCAAAUAAUGUUAUUCAUAGGACCAAUAUUAUUGGAGAAAGACUCAAAUCGACGUGGCCAUUUUGUUUGAAGUGACACUAGAGUUUGGACAUUUCUUAAAAACUUAAAACAAUAUUAGAGAGGAAGAGUUACUUCUCACGCAAGCAUAUUCCUAUGUCUUUAUCUCACUCCUCGUCCUCGUAGAUGUAGUACCAAUACAUCAUUGCUAGAAAGCCAUGCCCAACCAGGCUUCUUAAAUCUUAAUAUUAUGCUCAUGUUUCCUAGUUCACAACAUAACAUAGUUGAAAACGAUCAUUACAAAUCUAACGUUAUUUUUUAGCAACAAGGACAUUUUUGCCUUCAUGUCUUAUGACCAGUUUUCGUGUAGUGAAGUUUGUUAGAACACAAAACCAAAGUUGCCUUCUUUAGAAAACUUUGUUUUAACUCAAAUUUCUUCGGCUUUGAUUCUAUCUAUAUUUGAUAAGAUUGAUUGCUUUAGGGUGGAAAAUCACCAUAUGAAGCUUUCUCAAAUUGGUUAACCAAGCUCUAAAUGAUGUAAUGUAACCCAAAUAAACAUAGCACAUCUUCAACUCCUCUUGAACUAAUUUUCUUGUUGCCAUACCAAUCAAACUGCCCGAACCAAACCAAUUAGGGUCUAAUGUGAACUGUUCCACUUCAUCGUUUUUUUCUUUUCAAAUAAUAAAUUUUGUUAGAUUAGCCACCGACGGAUUUCGAACCCACGCUUCAAAUGUGUUGUUUGACGUCUGAACCGAUCCAAUCCAGACCGUAUCCAACCAGCUCUAUCUAGUCCUGGUUGAUGACCCAAAAUUCGACCCGGUUCCAUAUUUCUCACCAUUUAGGCUUAUGACCCAAAUUUCAUAGGAUGUCAAAUGUUUACGGGCCCAAAAACAUGCCCUCAGCAGCUCCCCAAACUCAGUACGACAGCAAAAAAAGCUCCCACACACUCUCCCUCCCCCUCUUUCUGCUAACCGUUUAAUUAUGCAAACUCUAUUAUCGCCGGUGACACGCGCCGCCUACUUCACGGCGGCGCCACCUACAUCUGUCACGACUCGGCCCUUAGUGUAUCACGUUCCUCUUCGAUCAAUCUCCGACCGCCACGUGCCCAGCCUCACUCUCUCUUCUUCGUUUUCUUCUUCGUAUGCUGCUCCCACCCACAGAGGACCAAAGCUCUCCAUCAGCACCAUCAGGGCAUCUUCCCCUCCAAUUUCUCAGAACUUCACCUCCCCAAACGACGAAACCGAAAGGGCCAAGCUCCUUCAGGUUCUCCUUCUUCUACUUUGCCUAAUUUAUUCUAUUUUCUGUUUGGUUUACGGGAAAAUGUAAGACCAUGAAGUGAAAUUACAGAAAUUUGUACUGAAUUGACCCAAUUUCGAAACGAUAGAUUUUUCAAUUUCAAAAUUUGCAUUGCAUUGUUGAUGAUUUGAUUGAAAGGUGAAGUGCUUUAGGUGGUUUGUGGUGUGUAGGUAGCCAAAAGGUUAGAGAGUACAGCAAGGUAUUUCAAGAGGUUGGGUAGUUUAGGGUUUUGGGGGCAGCUGGUCAGCACUGUUGUGGCGGCCGUGAUUCUUUCGUUUUCGGUUGUUAUAACCGGCAAGGUUUCGUCACCACCUACUUUUUAUGCCACUGCGGGUGGGAUUGUGGCGGGAUUCAUCUCUGUGUUUUGGUCAUUUGGGUACAUUCGCCUCUCGGAUAAGCUUCGAAGAAGUGCAAGUGACCCUGCAAAGGUAUUGUGGAAUUGUCAAUUUUGGGAAAGCUAUUUGUGUUUGUGAUUGAAUUGUAUGUGCUUUGUGAAAUUUGUUUCAUAAAGGCGAUAAUACUGUUUUCGGACAAAUGCUAAGUUGCAUGGGCUUUGUGCAUGAUGUGAAUUGUGAAGUUCCAUCAUCCGUGGCAUGCUGAUAAUGAUAUGUUCAACCGAUGCCCAUUAUCUUGAAUGAACUGAAAUAUCCGUUGCCAGCUUGAAUAGGCUGAAAGUAUAAAAUCUAUUGAUCUACUCUUCGAUAACAGAAUAAGAUAACAAUGGAGUUGUCUGUCACUGUCACCCAAAUAAAUUGUACUUACAGUCGCACUUCAAUGAAUUUGAAUCCUUGUAAUCAUAAUUGCCUGUGAGCACUUCAUCUGCUUUCAUUCUUCUUUAUUUUCGUCCAUCAUUAUCAUCCCAUUAUUGGGUUUCUUGUUGAAAUUGGCUCAAAUUCCUCCCACAUUUAAAAGAUGUUUUCAUAACCGAUAAUUAUCUGACUUUGUUCUCCGAUGGCAACUUUUACCUAUUACAUCUGUGUUUCACUGCUUAUAAUAUACAGGCUCCUCCACGCGCUGAUGUUAUAAAAAGCUUAAAGAAUGGCAUUCUUCUGAACAUUUUGGGUAUGGGUGCUGCUGUUCUUGGCAUGCAAGCAACGGUAGGACUGUUGGUUGCUAAGGCUUUUACUUCCUCUGCAAAUCCGUAUCAGGGUCUCACUCCGGGUUACAGUCCUGUUCUUGCCUUGGAUGUAUUCUUGGUGCAGGUAGAUUCAUAUAUCUCACUUUACUUUUCGUUCUGUUCUGAAACAUUAGGUUAGAUAAUACCCCGUAGUCUUGCAGAGUAUACUUUCAGUUUCCCUGUUCUAACGGGUCAUCAGUAUGCCUCAAACUCUGUAGAGUAUAGUUACCUUUUAGUUUUUGGGCAUGAUUUCGAAAAAGGAAUUUGCAAUUGGGAGAAGACUGACAUUUCUAUUCGUUUGUUUGGCGUUUUCGUUGCAGGCAUCGGCAAACACUAUCCUUUCUCACUUCCUGGGACUUCUCUUCUCGCUAGAGCUGUUGCGCUCAGUAACGUUGCCACCUUCUGAAGGCAUUCCCAUUCCCAGAUUCGCAUAAAUACUGCCCUACCUUUUUUCAAAGCAUUGAAGCUGUGAUUCUUUUUUAAGUGUUUUUGCUUCUCUAUGAUGUUAUAAGACGAAUGCAUUUCUGUAUUAUAUUCGUAGGUUUUGCUGCCUCUUUCCAAUUGUAUUAUACUUGGAACUUUUAACACAAAAAUGAGAUUUGCACUAUCCAAUACGACAUGGAAUGUUGGGCAGUCAAGCAUCACCAUGAUCGAAAAAUGAGUGUAGCAGAUAUGAGAAUACUUUGUUGGAUGUGUAGGGACACGAGAAAUGACAAGAUUAAGAACGAGGAUAUUAGAUGUAAAGUAGGAGGGGUGGCCGCAAUUGAAGAUGAGAAAAUCGAUUAAAGUGGUUUGGUCAUGUAAAACAAAGACCUAUAGAAGCUUCAGUUUGAAAAUGCAAUUGCGAGCCAUAAGCUUAGGACAAAAUGGGUAGAAAAAAACCUAGAAAGACUUCAAAAAAAGACUUUUAAGAAAAAACGUGGAGUACUUGGAACUAACCGAAAACUUGACACAAAACAAGUGUAAUGACGUUUUAAGAUUCAUACAACCAAUCUCAUUUAGUGUGAUAAGACUUUGUUGUUGUAAGUAGCACCCAGCAAAAAAUCAUGCACGGAAAGUUUCUAGGCUAACAAACUGACACAGAAAUAAGAGGAAAAUUAAAACAUACAACGAUGAAACAUAAAAGGAUGGCAAACCAAAACACUUAAUAUUUCAUUAGAAUGAUUAAGUUUCUCUCUUUCAUCCCAUGGAGAUGAACACAAAGUUUUAACCACCAAGAUCCAAUGAUCCAAUAACUAUUCACCAAAAACCUAACAAGAUUAUAAGAUCCAGAGCCAAAAACGAUGUAACACUGAAUCUCAAACGCAGACACUAACGGGAUCCACCCAAACCUUGUCAAUGAUGCUGUUUCACUGUCAAUAUGUAUAGCCGCAGCAUGCCAAUAAAAAGAUAACCGAAGUACACUACUUCGUACGUUGAAAGCCUUGUAUAAGGUUGUUAUCACACUUUCCGGAGCUCCAUAAUACCCUGCACCAUAUGUACAUGUGUUUUAGAGAAAAUCAGCAGCAACUAAAUCAACAGAAUCUACAAAAAUAUGAUACCAGUGUACACACAGAGACGGUGAAAGAAAUCAAAUGAGUAGUCCAUUCAAAGAAAAACAACAAAAAAAAAACUUCAGAGGGCCAAUGUCAUAUGAAAUUAGACAAAUUGGCGAAUUUCAUAUAUCCUGGUGUACAUUGUGAAUAAUGGUUUAAUGCAAUAUGUAAGAAAUUAUAUUCAUUAAGAUUUAAAUGAAACUGAUUUUGUUGCCCCCAAAUACCUUUUAAAGGCAAUACCAUAUGAAUACUUUCAGAGACAAAAUAGCUAGCAUAGUACAUCAAAAUUAGAACUCGAAGACGCCAAAACUUGUUCAAUUUUAUGCAUCCACUGAGAAUUAUCAAAGAAAAGUCAUUGUUAAAUUAUUUCAUAUGCAAAUGCCUGUCAUAAAAUCAAUACGAUCUGUAAGAACAUCGUAUUCUCUUGAACAACAGCAUUCAUACUUCAAUAUGAGUUUCGCUUUACUAGUCAAAGUGAAAACAGAAAACAAUUAUAGUCUGGAAAAUUAGUACAGUACACUAAACUAAUCCAAGUGAGUUUUCUUCUUCAGAGCCAAAAUGACAAUGACAGGUAGGCGUUUGGAGAAAAGUGUUGGAAUCUAAAAGUCUUCACCUAAGCCAAUCAAAGACAGAGUAUAUGGAGUGCAAGUUCAGUGCAAACGGAGGCUCAAAUGAGUUAGGGAUGAAAAUUGGAGAUCAGGAAGUACCAAAGAGCAACCGUUUUCGCUACCUAGGAUCUAUCUUGCAAAAGAACGGAGAGUUUGAUGGAGACCUCAGCCAUAGAAUACAAGCUGGAUGGAUGAAGUGGAGAGGGCAUCCGGCGUGUUGUGUGACUGCCGUAUGCCACUGAAGCUCAAGGGAAAAUUUUAUAGGACGACAAUAGGACCGGCAAUGCUUUAUGGCACGGAAUGUUGGGCAGUGAAGCAUCAACACAAACAUAAAAUGGGUGUAGUAGAGAUGAGAAAUUGAAGGAAAGAUCAGAGAAAAUCGGUUACGAUGGUUUGAACAUGUGAAAUGAAGGCCUACUGAUGCUCCAAUUAGAAGAUGCGAUUACAGGAUAGAGGUCCAGGGCCAAAGGGGUAGAGGAAGACCUAGGAAGACUUUGGAAGAGACUCUAAGAAAAGAGAGUACUUGGAUAUAAUGGAAGACGUGACACAGAACCAAGCGCAAUGACAUUCUAGUAUUCAUAUAACCGACCCCACUUAGUGGGAAAAGACUUUGUUGUUGUUGUUGUACGAAAGCUGAAAAUUAGAUUGACUGAAAUGGAAAUACUGUUUAUUUUUCACUGGAAGCAAGGGCUAAUUCUAGUGGGAGUUACUAAGUUAAAUGUCAGGUGCAAAUAAAUUUAUUAAUUGCGAUGUUUACAUCGCAAUCCUUGCAGCUUCUUUUCCCUUCUUUUUUUUUUAUUACAUUUAUUUGUUCCUCUAAGGAAUUUAGAGGCACCAGGGUUAGUGUAAACACUGCCCUGUUGUCUUACAGACUUUCAUAACACAAAAAAACUGCAGUAAAGACAGGACAGUUUCUCGAAACAGACACAGAAUAUAGGAAGGACUUCAAUCUUUUCCAUUGUCUGCGAAAAGAAGCUGUAGAGAUUGCUCAAUCAUCCCAUCAUAAUCCGUAAGACACCAAAGACCCAUACCCAGAAAUCAGUUAUACUUGUGCCAACCAUUCUAAAGAUGGUCUUCCAUUCCUCUCUAGCCAUUCAAAGCUCUGGCCUUCCUUUUCUGUUUCCCCAGAUUUGGAAGUUUGGGAGUAACAUCAGGAAAGUGAAAGGUAGCACACCACUACAUGACUCUGUUUCAUUACUAGUAUGUUUCGCUUAAAAAUUCCUACCAUAUACCAUAAAUUAAAACUGGGUUUGCAAAAUUACAGCUUCAUGCUCAGUACAAAUAAUGAACAUUGUAAAGCAUAAUGAUGCAAGAGAUUUCACACUUGAAUAGUUCACAAGAUGCUUUAACUAAAAACACUGAUCACAUGCUUCAACAUGUCCACCACAAAAAACAAAACCUAGAAAAAUUUCAAACCAACAUUGCACAAAGAUUCAGCAUAACAAAAAUAGCCUGAAUUAAUUCCUCUAAUGCCUUGAUACGCAAACUGCCAACAACAGGGAAGAACAAUUAAUAUGAAUAGAUAAAUAGAAGAGUGUCUCGGGAGAGAAAGAGAUCACACUUACCUACUGUAGCUUCUUCUCCUUGUUUGAACCCAGUGGAAUUUUCUUUAGGAUGCUAUCAUCAAUUUUCCUGUACUGUGUUUGUAUUACUCUGUUUGCUACAUGCAGCUUAUCAUCAAUGUGGUCCUGAUACUUAUCAUACAACACGGGCACUGAAAGACUUAGAAGAACCCCUGGAUAAUAGUUAAAGAAAUGUCCGUAAAUAAAUAUUGCAAAUCUUUCAAGCAUGCACCUAAACUAAACAUAUAAAGAUACAAGGUGCAGUAAAGAGAUUACCAAUGUAGAAAAGAGUAAGGAAGUUGAAGAAACUUCCGACAUAAGAAGCUAGCCAUAAGCAGAAAGCAACCUACAGAAGCAAACCAAAAUUUCCAAUCAGUAAAAUUCAUAAUGGUCUGUUCUACGUAAUCCAUAAAAACCACCUCCUUGAAACCAUAAACCUAGGGGGGGGAAAUAAACUACGCCUAACCUGAAGAAAGAGCUUCCAAUUUCUCCCAAUAGCAAUGUCUCGUGCAAUAGACAGUACACGAUUAAUCCCAGCAUGCAGUGCAUCAGCAGCCUUCACAACAUUGGCCUCAGAGAUUUCCAUAUCAGGGAGAGGAGGCAAAGGUCUGAAAGACAGCAUAGCCCGUUUUUCAUUAAAAUCGCCUCAAACUAAAACCAAUCCUCAGAACAGUAUAAAUCACCACCCAUCGUUCCCAAAAAAAAUUAAUUCAACUGAUAUUGCGUUCUUGGUUACUUUCUACAUGACGUAUUCAGGAAAAACUAGUUCAAUAAUCCAAAAUAACAUACUCCUAAUAAAUACACGUCUGAUCUAAAGCUAAAUGAACCCGGAAAUUCUCGGUGGGAUAACAAGAUCAGUAAAAAGUAUACAAGAAACGCAGCGAAAAAUAGCCAAAAAUGAGAGGGUUACCUGUUGAGAAGAGAAGCAGAUUUGGCCCAGAGGAAAAGGAUGACCACAAGAAGCAGUAGAACAUUGGCCACAAAUGACAAGAGAUUGUAACCAGCUCGCUCAAACAGCAACCACGACGCCGUCGUAGAGGUCAGCAGUAAAACUCCUCCACUCCAUUUCUUCCACAGCAGCACAUCGGCAACUACCAAAAACCCCAGAAUUAACAACAUUAAUCACAAGUUAAAUCAACACACAACGUCAAUUAGGUUGUAUUAAGAUCAAGAACAAUGUAAUGAUUAUUCCAUAAUCCAAAUCUACGGAAUGUUAAAACAAGAUUAUGGUUAGUCAUCGCCAAUGGAAGUAGAAUCGAUUCAUACCAAAUCAGAAUCGCGAAUAUAAAUCUAUGGAUUUACAAAUCAACAGCAUCCGUGCAAUUAUGUGUGUGCAUGUAUAUAUACAUACACACACAUACGCAUAUGUGUAGAGAGAGAGAGAGAGAGUACCAGGGCCACCUCCGAGAGUUUGGUGAACGGAAAUGCGACGAGGAGGCAUAGAUUCUCCCAUGGAGAUUUAGGGUUUCAGAGAGGAGAGAGAUGGAAGGAGAGAGGUACUUGAUAGGGAGGGAGAUGGAAAUUACAAAAAUGAAUGGAAAUAGUUUAAGAAGAAGAAGAAAUGGCGAUGACUUCAUUUACUUUUUUUGUUUUUUGUUUUUAAAUAAAAAGGGGACUUAGGCUUUGAUACAGUAGUUCACUACUUCAGGGGCCGAAAGAUUGUAUUUCAGCAUCUUCUUAUUACGGUUUACUUUUGACAAGAAUCAAACUCAAGAUGUGUCGUGUGAAAUACAAAUUUAAAAUCCGUUUUCUAAUACAAGACAAAAGCCCAAAAUUGCUAAUCCGGGUGUUUUAUUACCUGCGCUCCCAUAAAAAUAAUACACUUUAAUUUAAUUGUCCCUUUCAAAUUAAAUCUCAAGUAAAUAAACAUCCUCCUCCCAACCAAUUUUGUUGAGGGCAACAUGUGGUCUAACUCUCAACACUAAUCUCACCUACGUAUCUUAAAAGAGGGUAUUCUAAAUACGCUGAAUUGGGUUAAAAUACGUUGUGGAUCAUGUUAGUUGGUCGAGACAGUAUACUCCUUUCUUUGUAUUUAAGUAUGAUCUCCUAGCGGUUUUAGCUCAUUUUGGUUAAAAGACGGAAUGAAAGUAUAUGGACAGAAUGACGAAUAAAGAAAUGUGAAUGAACUAGUGAAGAAUGAAGGAGAAUAUAUGAAACAAAAACUUGAGAAACAACGAUUUGAAAUUGUUAUAUAGUUUUAGUUUUUCAUUUCAUUUACCAUGUCAUAUGCAUUUCUUGCGCAUCUCUUUGGCUAUCAUUCUGACGCCAUUUUUUAUACCCUACGAUCCCAUAAGUUAUUGCUCAUUUCCCCAUAUAUUUAACUACAAAAACAAAAAUUAAAAACGAAAUGAUAAAGGACUUUAUAAAAAAAAUUAGUUGAGGAUAGAACCUUGUGGUUGAUGUUUCCUUCCUAGAUCUAUCGCCUUGUAGUGCAUUAGUUGAAACUUGAAACUUCACUGGGUUAGGUUGAUGUUGAUCAACUGCCAAAUUUAACAAGCAUGAUGCAAUUGCAAGCAAGAAAACAAAUGCUACAUGCCAUUCUAGAAGAGAAUGGAGCACUUGACCAAGAUGUAGACCCGGUGUUUAAAAUAUCAGUAUUAGUGAAAAUAUCGAUAUGCAAAUUUAUGAAAAUAUCGACGGAUAUAUCAAAUAUUGAUAUCGAUAUCGGUAUUGACAGAUAUAUCAAAUAUUAAUAUUGAUAUCGGUUGCUUUUGGUAGAAUGAUAGAUAUUGAAAUGAAACCUUAGGGAUUAUCAAACAUUGGUUUAGACGAAAUAUAAGAGUUUUUCCGAUAUAUAACAGAUGUGUCAGUAUAUGUCGAUUUUAGCCUAUAUUUAAGAGUUUCUUCGAUAUAAGGUGAAGUUUUAGACUUCAUCCCCAAUUUCCAUAUCUUUCUCUGGUUUUUUUAAUAUUUCCAUGAAAAUAUCGACCGUAUCAAAGAAAAUUUAAAGAUUGCGUAAACCACAUCGUUUUUGUUCUUUAUAUCAAGAAAAUAGUUAAACUAAAUCAAAAUUUAAUUUGUUCUAAUCCCUUGGGAUGUUACAUCUUGGAAUGCAUACAAUCGAAUUUGGGCGGCAAACAUGGCAAUUCUAGACUUGAGAAAAAUGAAAUCCCAAUUACGUUGGUGCAUGCUUUGCUCCUUUAAUUUGCAAUGCACACAGAUACCAAGCUUUGAACCGAUGCAUCAAGAAUUAAAACUUAGUACAAGCUUGUUCAGUUUGAUCAUCAGGAUUCCCAUCAUUGUCCAAAGACUCUUCUUUCUGUUUCUCUUCACCACCUGAAUUUGUUUUCAUCUUCUUCUCCUUUUUUCUCUGGUUUUUCUUUUUGUGUUUCAAACGCUUCUUUGCUAUCUUUUCUUCAGCCUCUCUCAGUCUUUCCUCCCUUCUCAUAUUGAAUUCGGCCGCUUCUUUCCUUCUCUGAUAGUCCACGUCCAUCCUAGUAAUCCUGUCUUGCUCUUUCUGUCUCGUUUGCUGAUACGGUGGAUGUACAACUUGGGGUGAGAAAUAAGUUUACAUGAAAUUUAGCUGCCAACUUAAUGAUUCCAACAAACCAUAACCAAUCAAAUAUUCCAAUGUCACGAAAGUAGGUGUAUGAAAAGAAAAUUAAUUUUUUCCAUGUUCAGAACUUUAGAUACUUAUCUAAUCGGUAUUACUGAUUCAACAUCAAACUCAAACUCAAAAUCAUAGUGUUAGUACCAUAUUAUAUUGGGUCUCAUUACUUGGGCUUCUAGACAUUGAGCCCAUUAUUUAUGUAAAAGGGGAGGAGCCCUUAGUCUAUAAAAGAGACUCCUCACCCUCACAAUCAGGAGGCCUCACAUCCAGCAACCCUCUCACAAACAGAGAAACACUCUCAAACUCUUUCUUUCUCUGGGGGACUUCCCCUCACACUUGUAAUCCAUACAUUCAUACAGAGAAAUACAAUCAACAUCAGUGUGGACGUAGCCCAAACAUUGGGGUGAACCAUGAUACAUCUUGUGUUCUUUACUUUCUUGCAGAUUCACGAUCAGAUUUACAUUGUUCCAAGACCCCUCCGGUUUUGUACAUCAACAUUUGGUGCCGUCUGUGGGAAUCGACACGAAAAGUUAUGUCGGUUUUCUUUCAUUUUUUUUCAUAUCACCACCGUGAAUCUACAAAACCCAGAAACCAAACAGCCAUGUCAAUCCUUUCCAUUUCUGUACCUUCUUCUUCCUCCGCUCUCCUCCCCAUUCCUCACCCUGCCAUUCCAAAUCGCCGUUGCAAAAUCCCACAAAAAGCGAUCGAUGGGAGUCACCAUGAGCAUGGAGGCCGGCAUCAGAGUCAUGGCCACGAAGCUCAGCAUGAUAAGUUUCUUCGAGCCCAUCAAAAAAGUUGUCCCGAUUAUCGUCAUGGGUUUCAAGGAGGUCAACAUCGUCACCCAGGUAAAAACCCAGGCCACCGACAGCUACGACGCUUCCAUAUACAUAGUUGGUCUCUGUGAGACGGCAGAGCUCUACCUGUCCUUGCUUGUUUUCCUCCUUGAAGGUCAGUGCCAUUGCAAAAUCAGUCCAGUAUUAGAUUGCUUUCAAGCCAUACCAGUCCCCAAGAGGUGACCGAAUUGGAAAAAGGUAUUUCACCGAUCUCUGCCAAGCCUGCAACGUUUUGUGCAUAACACAAAGACUAUGAGAAUAUGUGUUACUAUCAACGCUGAGGAAGAAUCAUCUAGAGGUCCUUAUGUGUUUUCAAAGACAACUCACCAUUUUCAGAUCACAAAAAAGACUGGUGUUAAGUUGCCUGAACAAGGUUAAAUGUUCAAACAGUCAACUGCAUCAACAAAAUUGAAAGGAAAAGCUUUCGGUGAUCUUUUUGGUUUUUCCACGGACUAUGGUCUCCCUGCUCAGCCUAGAUUGAAGCUACUACCUUACAGGAGCCCUACAUACAGUAAUGGUGAGGAAGAUGUAAGAGAUGAUGAGGCUUAUGCACUCGAAUCAUCAUCUGAAACAGAUAUUUUGGACAUGGAUGCUUUCCAGGACAACCUUCUUCCUGGUAGUUACACUUAUAUUUCUAUUCUCUCUUCGAUUAUUGUCUUUCUGCAUAAGAACUUAAAAGAAAAGAAGAAGAAAAUCUCUCUCAAUAAUGUCGGAAUCCAAAAGUAAGGAAUAAACACCCACAUGCAAAAGCAAGCUGUCACCAAUGAGUCAUAUUCGUCAGUUCAAGCGAGGCAAGCUUCAAAGUUGCAGAGGAAAGACAAAAGCAAUCAAGUGAGUUGCGGCACAAAAGCAAAAGAGAGAGGUGUGGUGGAAAAAAGAAAAGUAAAAUCAGAAAGCAAAAGCAAGGAAUAAAGGGAGGAAAAUAAUGAAAAAGGAAAAUAUGUAUGGAGAUGGAGAAAAGCCGAGGAAGUGGAAAGCAUGGCACACCCAUACCCACUAUCAUUGAUGAAUAUUUUAUUAAGUUGUCUUCUACAAAUUGGAGCAAUUAUUGUAUAGUUAUACUGAUGUGUAAAAAAAAAAAUUAAAUAAAUAAAAAAAAACCGUACGUCCAGUACUCCAAAAUUAUUCGGCAGCCUAUCGCUAUUAUCACCAACUAGGUGAUCAAAAGUACGUCCAGUACUCCAAAAUUAUUCGGCAUCCUGCCGCUAUUAUCACCAACCAGGUGAUCACAAGUACGUCCAGUAGUCCAAAAUUAUUCGGCAGCCUGUCGCUAUUAUCACCAACUAGGUGAUCAAAAGUAUGUCAAGUACUCCAAAAUUAUACAUGAGCAUCACUCAUGUCAAUCAUACAUAAACAUUCAUGAGCAUCACUCAUGUUAAUCAUACAUAAACUUUCAUGACCAUCAUUCAUGUCAACAUUCAUGAGCAUUACUCAUGUCAACAUUCAUGAGCAUCACUCAUGUCAACAUCCAUAAGCAUCACUCAUGUCAAUCAACAUAAACAUUCAUGAGCAUCACUCAUGUCAAUCAGCUUCGAAAGCUUCAUUUACAGAGCUCCAACUUUGAAAGCUUCAUUUACAAAGCUCCAGCUUCAAAGCUUCAUUUACAAAAGCUCCAACUUCAAAACUUCACUUUCAAAGCUUCACCUACAAAGCUUCAAUGCAUGGUAUACAAAGACCGCUUCCGAACAACCGUUACUUCGGCCCAUACAUGGAUUGAAUUUGAAGUCUCCAACCAACAACCUUUAUUGAUUGAAGACUUGGGGGACUACACUAUGUACCAUAUAUUGGGCUUCCGUAACAGGGCCUCAUAAAAAAUACUUGGGGGGACUUAGCCCAUUAUUUAUGUACUGAGGAGCGAACCCUUAUUCUAUAAAAAUGACUCCCUCACUUUCAUCAGAGAGCACCCAUUAUUCAUGUAUUGAGGAGCGAACCUUUAUUUUAUAAAAGGGUUUCCCUCACCUUCAUUAGAGAGAGACUUUUAGCCCAUCACUCAUGUAUUGAGGAGCGGACCCUUAUUUUAUAAAAUGGACUUCCUCACUAUCAUUAGAGAGCAUCACCGCUUGCUGAGCAACCAUCUUGCCGCGAGCAUUAACUUUAGCCCAUUAUUUAUGUAUUGAGGAGCGAACCCUUAUUCUAUAAAAGGGACUCCCUCACCAUCAUUAAAGAACAUCGCCGCCAGCUGAGCAACCGCCUCGCCGCGAGCAUCACUCCUAACCCACCACUUAUGUAUUGAGGAACGAGCCCUUAUUCUAUAAAAGGGACUCCCUCACCUUCAACGCCAUAAGCCGAGCCAACCAAGGCAAUAUAAGCCACAAGCCGUGUAGCCUCGCAACAUGUGCUACUUCUAGUUGAGCAUCAUUUCACAUUAAGCACCGCCUCAUAUCAAGUAUCAGUUCUAAACGACAUCUAGUUACUUCGGCCCACACAUGGAUUGAAUUUUAAGUCUCCAGCUAAAAGACUCUCUUGACUGAAGACUUGGGGGACUACUGUUGGUACCAUAUUAUAUUGGGCCUCGUUACUUAGGCUUCCAAACAUUGAGCCCAUGAUUUAUGUAAAAAAUGAGGAGACCUUAAGAAAAACAAUUCUGCUAACUGGAGGAUUAGAAGUUGUAUUGCGGUCCACAUGCAAAAAUGACAAACAAUCAUUCAUGCCUACUGUCCACAUACAUAACACGUAUAAGAGAGCCACCAUACUCCAUAUCCAUUUUGUGUUCCCACCAACUCCAAUAUAACACUAAAGAGGAAACAUUGCUUUACUUCUUGGCAAAAUCUCUUCAAAACUCAAACUAAAAAGACGGCCACAACACAGUUACCGUGCAUGACUCUUAUUAACACAUUAUUCUACUUUUAUGGUACACAGUUAGCCCUAAUGUACGCAUACACAAUUCGACCAAGCUUAUGCAAUAUAACCCCUUCAACAUACUAACAAUCUAGCCUUGAGUCUGAUUAUCAUAAAGAAAGACUUGCUCAAUCCCAAAAUUGAAAAUCCCUAAUACCUGGUAAGCUCAUAUGCCACAUUAUCGAAAUUGAAUUCCAAUUUUGUUUUUCUGCUAACGGUAAGUGACCAAACUCUUGCUAUGGGCAUAUAAGCCCAACAAGUCAAUUCAAAUUUGAUUAUUCAUAAUUUUGUGAAGAAUCAAACCGAUGGCGGCGACCUCUAAUUACUGUACCACUCAUGUCCUAGCUAGGGAUGGGCAAACGGGUCUAGGACCCAUGGGGCGGGGCAGGGUGGGUUCAGCCGGUUCGGGAUGGGUAUAAAUUUUGUAAACUCAAAAUGGGGUGGCGGGACAGGUUCAUAUAAUUGGCAAGGCGGGGCGAAUCCCAAAUCUCUGAAAAGAGGUUCAUCGACCCGGACUGUUUCCCCUUUCAAUAAUGCCAUUAGUGCAUUCAGCAUCCUUGUUUCUAGUCACUGACCUGACACUCUCUUCCUCUUCGAAGACUCGAACUCUAACUUGACUCUCUCCUCUCACAGAUUCCCAACUCGAGCCUCAACCUCAAUGCGUCUCUCUUCCGACUCCGACCACCACUAUAUUAUCCUCUAACUUCCACAAGUUCUCUCAGAAGACGAACACACUUGCAAAUGCACCACCUUUGAGCUCUCGUCGAAGUCACUCAGAUCUCGCAAUAUGUUCCUUCGCACGUCCGUAGGCGGUUGCCUCUUCUUCUCCUCAUGUAAGUCCUCCGCUACCGCCUUCUUCUUCUCCACUUUCUUCUACAUCAAAUUUCAGUAGUCCACCGACCUCUGACCUUACCACAUCCAGGCUCCUACUUCUUUUCUUCUCGACAUCUAAUUUCAAUUUUAUCCUGAAUUCGAAUUUUAGGAUUUAGGAAUUAGGGAUUUAGUUAAUUUGCUUGAAAAAAUCAUAAAAAAUGUUAGGGAUUUAGCUUAAUUAGGGAUUCAGUUUUGUUUUAUUUUUUGAUAAAUUCGAAAUUGUAUUUGAAUAUUUUUUUUAUUUAUUAAUUUGUUCUAUUUGGGGAUUUAGGUUGGGGCAUGAGAAAUGCUAAAUGCUGGAUUUUUUUGGGAAGCAGAUUGUGUGCAUAUGUAUAUACCAUAUUGAAUUGCAGAAAAGCUUUACACGGGGAGCCGUAGGAUCUGUAAGAAAUAGGCCGGGUUAAGUCCAGUUCUAGUUUUGAAAAUAUGCCAAUCCGCCCUGUCCCGACCCGUUUCAUUUUCAUAGGGUUCCAGUUGGGUUCCUCCAAAUUUGGACUCGACCCAACCCGUGCCUAACCAUAGUUCUAGCUCCAGCUAUCUAAGUUCAGAAUACCCUAACUUCUACAGACAACCGAACGUAAACCCUUUAUCCUCUCUCAAUCUACUCCAAUUUAUACAGUAAUUUACUCAAAUAAGCAUCAAUAUCCAAUAAUUACAAUCACAAGGAAAAUCAAGGUCACCAUUGUAAUAAUGCAUCCGCGCAUCAUACCUGAUGGAAGUUGCCAGAGGCGAACCGGCGGAGCUACCGGAGGUGUUACUGAAACGAACCGGGAAAUUUUUUAGAAUCCUUCGGAGCUUGAUCUUGAGGUCCUCUUCCUCUUCCUUGAACACAAGCGGCGUAUACUUCACAAGCGCCGUUGAGCUAGCUGCCGUCGGUGGCCGGUAGCAUUAGUUUCCUGUCAGACCCCUGGGCUUGUUUCCUCUCCAGCCCUGCCACCAGUUGUAUGUCCCCGUCUUUGGAAUGUUACAUCUUGGAAUACAUACAAUCGAAUUUGGGUGGCAAACAUGGCAAUUCUAGACUUGAGAAAAAUGAAAUCCCAAUUACGUUGGUGCAUGCUUUGCUCUUUUAAUUUGCAAUGCACAUGGAUACCAAGCUUUGAACCAAUGCAUCAAGAAUUAAAACUUAGUACAAGCUUGUUCAAUUUGAUCAUCAGGAUUCCCAUCAUCGUCCGAAGACUCUUUCUGUUUCUCUUCGCCACCUGAAUUUGUUUUCAUCUUUUCCUUUUUUCUUUGGUUUUUCUUUUUGCGUUUUAAACGCUUCUUUGCUGUCUUUUCUUCAGCCUCUCUUAGUCUUUCCUCCCUUCUCAUAUUGAAUUCGGCCGCUUCUUUCCUUCUCUAAUAGUCCACGUCCAUCCUAGCAAUCAUGUCUUGCUCUUUCUAUCUCGUUUGCUGAUACGGUGGAUGUACAACUUGGGGUGAGAAAUAAGUUUACAUGAAAUUUAGCUGCCAAUUUAAUGAGUCCAACAAAUCAUAACCAAUCAAAUAUUCCAAUGUCAUGAAAGCAGGUGUAUGAAAAGAAAAUUAAUUUUUUCUGUGCUCAGAACUUUAGAUACUUAUCUAACCGAUAUUAUUGAUUCAACAUCAAACUCAAACUCAAAAUCAUAGAGAAGAAAGCAGUUUUUGCUUGUACCUGGCUACAUUCUAUUGCAGUGCGUACAAAUUCGGGCACUUUCAUUUUCGUUGAGAAAGAUACUAUUUCAUUGCAGCAAGACAAACAAGACAAUUCCGGGCAUCUCUUGUCCCAAAGUUUAAACUUAAAAGUAGACAACACUGCAUUCUAUUGCAUUGCUCAAGAUCGAAGGUUUCUUUAGCCCUACGCGUAUAAUAACAAGCUACAGCCUUUCAAAGAAUACUACAUUGUUUAAUCAUAAAUGAUCCCCAAGUUCAAGCAGAAAACACUAAUUCAAUGCAGAGAAAAGGGCAGAGAUUCAUUCAUCCAUAAGAAAAAACAAUUCUUCUAACUGAAGGAUUAGAAGUUGUACUGCGGUCCACAUGCAAAAAUGACAAACAAUCAUUCAUGCUUACUGCCCACAUACAUAACACGUAUAAGAGAGCCACCAUACUCCAUAUCCAUUAUGUGUUCCCACCAACUCCAAUAUAACACUAAAGAGGAAAAAUUGCUUUACUUCUUGGCAAAAUCUCUUCAAAACUCAAACUAAAAAGACGGCCACAACACAGUUACCAUGCAUGACUCUUAUUAACACAUUCUUCUACUUUUAUGGUACACGGUUGGCCCUAAUGUACGCAUACAUAAUUCGACCAAGCUCAUGCAAUAUAACCCCCUCAACAUACUAACAAUCUAGCCUUGAGUCUGACUAUCAUAAAGAAAGACUUGCUCAAUCCCAAAAUUGAAAAUCCUUAAUACCCGACAAGCUCAUAUGCCACGUUAUUGAAAUUGAAUUCCAAUUUUGUUUUUUUGCUAAUGGUAAGGACCAAACUCUGCUAUGGGCAUAUAAGCCCAACAAGUCAAUUCAAAUUUGAUUAUUCAUAAUUUUGUGAAGAAUCAAACCGAAAGUGGCGGCCUCUAAUUACUGUACCACUCAUGUCCUAGCUAGGGGUGGGCAAACGGGUCUAGGACCUAUGGGGCGAGGCGGGGUGGGUUCAGCCGGUUCGGGACGGGUACAAAUUUUGUAAACUCAAAAUGGGGCGGCGAGACAGGUCUAUAUAAUUGGCAAGGCGGGGUGAAUCCCAAAUCUCUGAAAAAAGGUUCCCCAACUCGGACCGUUUCCCCUUUCAAUAAUGCCAUUAGUGCAUUCAGCAUCCUUGUUUCUAGUCACUGACCUGACUCUCUCUUCCUCUUCGAAGACUCAAACUCCAAUUUGACUCUCUCCUCUCACAGAUUCCCAACUCGAGCCUCAACCUCAAGGCCUCUUUCUUCCGACUCCGACCACCACUAUAUUAUCCUCUAACUUCCACAAGUUCUCUCAGAAGACGAACACACUUGCAAAUGCACCGCCCUUGAGCUCUCGUUGAAGUCACUCAGAUCUCGCAAUUUGUUGCUUCGCGCGUCCGUAGACGGUUGCCUCUUCUUCUCCUCAUGUAAGUCCUCCGCUGCCGCCUUCUUCUUCUCCUCUUUCUUCUACUUUAAAUUUCAGUAGUCCACCGACCUCUGACCUUACCACCUCCAGGCUCCUACUUCUUUUCUUCUCGGCAUCUAAUUUCAGUUUUAUCCUGAAUUCGAAUUUUAGGAUUUAGGAAUUAGGGAUUCAGUUAAUUUGCUUGAAAAAAUCAUAAAAAAUGUUGGGGAUUUAGCUUAAUUAAGGAUUUAGUUUUGUUUUAUUUUUUGAUAAAUUCGAAAUUGUAUUUGAAUAUUUUUUUAUUUAUUAAUUUGUUCUAUUUGGGGAUUUAGGUUGGGGCAUGAGAAAUGCUAAAUGCUGGAUUUUUUUGGGAAGCAGAUUGUGUGCAUAUGUAGAUACCAUAUUGAAUUGCAGAAAAGCUUUACAUGGGGAGCUGUAGGAUCUGUAAGAAAUAGGCCGGGUUAGGUCCAGUUCUAGUUUUGAAAAUAUGACGAUAUGCCCUGCCCCGACCCGUUUCAUUUUCAUACGGUUAGAGUUGGGUUUCUCCAAAUUUGGACCCGACCCAACCCGUGCCUAACCAUAGUUCUAGCUCCAGCUAUCUAAGUUCAGAAUACCCUAACUUCUACAGACAACCGAACACAAACCCUUUAUCCUCUCUCAAUCUACUCCAAUUUAUACAGUAAUUUACUCAAAUAAGCAUCAAUAUCCAAUAAUUACAAUCACAAGGAAAAUCAAGGUCACUAUUGUAAUAAUGCAUCCGCGUAUCAUACCUGAUGGAAGUUGCCAGAGAAAACUACCGGAGGUGUUAUUGAAGCGAACCGGGAAAUUUUCGAGAAUCCUUCGAAGCUUGAUCUUGAGGUCCUCUUCCUCCUCCUUGAACACAAGCGGCGUAUACUCCACAAGCGCCAUCGAACUAGCUGCCGUCGGUGGCCUAGACGGUAGCAUUAGUUUCCUGUCAGACCCAUGGGCUUGUUUCCUUUCCGGCCCUACCACCAGUUGCAUGUCCCCGUCUUUGGGUUUGCCCAACAACAUGUCGUGCAAGAGAAGCCCUACUUCUGGAUUCGGAGGUGUGGAGUUUAGUAUAGGAAUUUGGGAGUUUAGUAUAGGAAUUUGGGGGAUUCUGAGACAAGACAAUGAACUUCCGUUGGUACUUAACUAUCGAUAUUUGUCCUACUUUAGGUCCAUGAAUUCGUCUUUUUUCCGGGUCUUGUACUUCGGAAGCAAGAACUCCAUAUGGACCGCCACUUGAAUAUAUCCAAUCUUCUUUUUCAUCUUUCGAGAUCUGUUCAUUCUUAUACUUUCACCAUGACUUUACUAAUCUUUGCAAGAACCAUAUUAUCAUCACGAUCUAUUGAUCAACCGAGAAGUUUCCUUGCCUCUACAUGGCACAAAACGUCUUCUCAACAUGUUCGAACCAAGCUUCGACCAAUUCAUGAUCUCCAUGCCAUAGAAGUAUUCUCGCUUGAAUACCAGUGGUGAUAUCCAAAUCAUUCUUCCGAGAAUGGCAGAAAGUUAUCUGGACGGCGUCAGCGAUAGUCGCUCCAAGUUGCCCAAAUCAGGAAAAGCUAGCGUGGUACAUGCUCAGCCAGGUGGCAUAGUUCUACAUUUUACACCAAGAAUGACUAGCGCAGUGAUGAUUGCAGGGCUACCUAAACCUAUGCUUUGAUACCAAACUAACAUACUCCGACCCGGAAGGCGUGUUGGUCAACACUUGAAAAGUAACGAAGGCAUAAGUGAAUGUGAUAUGAAAAAGUGUGAAUAAAUUAAACCUAAAGGUGUAGAAUUAAUUUAACUAAUAAUGAGUCGGCAAUAACGGGGGGAACCCUUAUUAUACAUGUGAUGUCAUAACAUAAGUAGUCAAACAGUAAAGUGAGGAAUGUUUGUACAUAAAGAAAACACUUCCUACAUUAACAUCAGUGAAUGUCAGCGUUGCCAAUAAUCCUCGUCGCCGCAAGAGUACCAUCACUAAGUUGUGGAGGGGCGAAAACCAAGGUGAGUGGACCAAAAAGCGAAGUUUGGUAAAAAUCGUUGUUUUCGUAAAAGUUGUAACCCUUCGCUAAAAAACAAGUAUAGUUUCCCAAACUAACUUAUUAGUCAUAAGUAUAUUGUAUAGCACCCAAUAUAUGUAGUAAUAAAAGAAUACGGGUACGAAACAUUAAAAGCAAUAGUGAUAACAAAUUAUCAUUGCUCAUAAGGUCAUGUAAGCACACAAAUCAUGCAGAAAGUUACUGCACAAACAGGCUAGGCGUAUAAUUUACAUUCUAAUACUAUAAUCACGUGACGUUGGCACUAAACGUUCACAUACAAGUCUUAGUUGCCUAAUGCAAAACUAGAGGCAAGCUGGCACCUACUCUAGAUCCAAAGUUAUUGUAAAUGGUGCAUGUGAACAUACACAUGAAGCUAGUCCUGGCCUAGACAAUACAACUAAAAGUGACACCGUGCAUACAUUUUAAAAUGAGUAGAUAAAUUACAAGUGUAUACAUGCCACAGUUUAUACUCAUAAAAUAAUAAUAAAAUAACCAAGUGUAGGUAAUUAUUAUUUUCUAAGUUAAACAUGACAUGUCACACAAAUAAACACAAGCACAAGUACGAAAACUAAUAUAAUAAAAAAAAACUUUUGAAGAAAAGAUCUACUCACAGUUACAUUGUGGGGUCAUAGUUGCCUUGCCUAGCUAUGUUUCUCUUAAAUGAGAAUUUACCAUGCUAAUUAAUACUUUAAUAGUAAUGCAAAUAAUCUAAAUAUUUUUCCUUUGUUUGCUUGUUUUGGGAAUUAAAAGUGGUUGGAAAGUGAUUGGCAUGAUGUCACAUGACAAGAUGUGUCACCAUGCGGCGGUUAGAGCUGCCACGCACUGCUAUGCGUAGGUCAAAGUCAGGCAUUGUGCAAACAUGCACCGAAGAUGGAAUAUUUUGUCACUGGAGUGAAUAUUUCGUCAUCGAGUAGAAUAUUUCGCCGCCAGGCGUAAUACUCCAUCACAGUAACGAUAACGUUAACUGUGACGUGAAGGGUUAUAGUUAACAAAAUUUACAUUGGUUUGGUGGUAUAUGUUGACGUUGUUAACGUCAUUAGGAACAUUCCGUCAAGAUUGACGAAAUAUUCCGUCUUCCUCUCUGGUGAGUCUAAUUGUCGAGGCUGUCAUGCACUGUAGGGAAUCUCACCAAAUUUGAAUUUUUUGCCUAGAAAAAUCACAGAAGUAUAUCAGAGCCAUUUUUCAACCAAAGUUCACAUAAAAUAUAUGGAAAUGAAGCUAUGGAGUAAAUCACUAAUAUGCUUAAUUUGAGGCCAUAAACUAGCUGGAGGUGGUUGGAAAAUGGUUAGAAAACCAUGGCCUGAUUGGUUUCCUUCUCAUCCGCCACAUAUUCGAGCAUUCAAAGCUCGAAUCUGAGUCUGGGGGUGGUAAGGAGUUUGUUGGGGUUGGUAAUCUUGUUCAGUUCGAUCCCCAUUGCCUUAGAUAUAUUAAUUUGGGUGCGUUAGGCUAAUCUUUUUUUUUUUUUUUUUUUUUGGCAUCUCUUCAAUUUAUUUUAAACUUAAUGUUCUCUGAUUGUUGAAUGUUAAUGCAUAAUGAAGAUUUAUAAUAAAUUUUAUUGCACAUGUGACAUAGUCUUAUUAAGUGUUGGGUCCUACAUAUGUUUUAGGAGGCGACCUAUAAGUUCUAGGGAAAAGAGAGAGUACACAAGUCAAAGUGGAAUAAAAUUUUGAGUUUAAGGAGUAAACGAUAAAGGGAUGACUUUUGAAUUACAUGGGACAAAAUGAGAUCAAACUAGAGUUCCAAGGAGCGUAGCAAAAAAUAAGCCUUUUUCUUUUAUCAAAGUCACUUUUAGUUUGCUCGUCCAACAAUCCAUUUGGAGCAGCUCCAUUGUUGCUUACUGCCUUGGGGGAUAAGGCAACCCAAUCCACUCCCCCUCCCAAAAACACUCCAACCCCUUCAGGCAAUUGGGUUCAAGGAGAGCCCGAUGGGGAAGUCGGGCAAUAAUUGCCUAGCCCAGUGCCUUACCUAUGUGAUGUAAGACUGACGUCAUUAUGAUGUCAGCCAUAAUUUAAAUUAUUAAAAAAAUUAUAAAAAUGAUUAAAAAACAAUAAAAAAAAAUUAAAAAUUAUAAUUUUUUUUUUCUAUAAACACCUAAAUGUGUUCUUCCACAGUUCUAGUUUACACUACAUUUCAAUAUUUUCAAAUAUUAUUUAAACCAAUCUUUUAUUAUUAUCCAAAAUUAAAAAUAAAGUUAUCUGUUAUUAUUUUAUAAAACAAAAAAUACUAAUAUUUUAAUAUAAAUUGCUUGGGCUAUUCAGAUUAGGACUGAAGAUGUACUCGGACAAUUAUUGUUCACUACAAACAAUUACUUUAUUAUUUACAGUUUCUAUUUAUUUAAUGAGAUUGAAUUGCCUAUUGCUCAUAAGACCUUAGUAUAGAGAAAUCACAAUCCAACCUCACAAUUCAAAAUCCAGGUCCGGCCCAAUGUGAGAAUUGAUCGAAACUUGGGCCGUAAGCGCAAAGGGAACUGAAGUAGUCGUUGUUUCUACGUUCGCUUCCUGCCAUCUGAAAAUUCUGAACUCUUUCGAGGAGAAGGGGGAGAGAGAGAGAGAGCUGGUGGUAAGUACAGAGAUUUUGUAGAUCCGCAAAGAGGAGGUGCAUAGAAUUCCAAGCGAAGAAGCACAGAGGAAUCAGGAGACAGAGAUAGGAGAGAAAGAGAGAGAGAGAGAGAGAGAGAGAGGAAGAUGUUGCCGACAACGUCGAGAGGGCGGUCGUCGUCCUCUUCAUCUCGGACGAACCCCAUGCCCAUUCAGUACCUUCGGAGAAUAAUCAAGGUGCUUUCUUCGUCUCUAAUUGUCUGGGUUUAUACUUUUAGAUCUGAUCUGCGUACUAAUUUUCUGCUUAAGCAUUUCAUAAUUUGUGGGUUGGAUCUAAUUCGACGAAUAAUGUUGUAAAAACUCUGAAUUCUGGAAGAAUUAGUGCCUUUGAUUGCUCUGGAAUGUGGAUGUGCGGCCGAAUUUUGGGUUCUUUUUUGGUUUUCAAGUGCGUUCGGCCUCAUUUGUAAUCAAUUGUUUGAGGGGCUGGUAAGGUUUGUCGGCAUCGGUCUCGGAAGACUUUGAGAGUUCUUUGUUCAGUUGAAUGUGGAGAACAUCACAUUUUUAGAUGGGGAAGGUAUUUUAGGGAAAUGUGGUGCAUUUGAGCUAGUUUCACGUGGAGAAGUUGCCCUAGGUUAAAACAGAGUGACUUUGGUAUUCUUUUUUAAAAGAGAUAUCGGAGUGAAGUCGGUGUGAUGCUUCGGUUCUGGAAUUCAGAAAUCAGCGCUUAAAUAUUUCCGUACUGCACACUUUCAAAAUGGCAAAACUAAAGUUUACACUGAUGUUGCGAAAUGGCUUAAGAAAGUAAGAGAACAGAGGAACUUUCCACCAUGGUGGGUUCAGAGCAACAAUACAGAGAUCCAGUAACUUAGCAUUUUGGAUAAAGCGGCUGAUAGACCAAAUAAAUGAUUUUAUAUGUUAUUACUGGGAGGGGGUUGGAGAUCGCGUCUAUAUAUCUAAUUCAAUCAUACUUUGAGCCUUUCACUUGAUGUAACCCACACAGCUUGAUGUAAGUUUUUAGUCUCAUUUGGAAUCCCGGUUUUACAGUGCCUGCACAUUAAUUGAGACCCUGGUACAUGUAUAUUAGUCUGCAUUUUGUUAGGGCAUCCAGAUCUGCUAAAUAAAGGCUGUGUACUGUGCAAAUUACAAACUAAAUAUCAAUUUCGGCAACCAAGAAGUUUUCUUGGAUGUGAAGCAAAUUGAACAUUGAGUUGAUGUAUAAUCAUGUUAUUUGGAAUUCUAGUCCUAUCUAUUGCAUAACCAGGUGUUGGGUAUAGGUCUGAAAUCCGGAUUUUUUUUCAGCACAUCCGUGUCUGUUUUGUUGUCUCUUUGAAAUCUCUUUUAACUUUGGUUCUAGAAGCUAGAACAUUUUCAUCAGUAACAAGUUAGCAUGCUACAUCCAGUUUGUUAUAAUUUUGAUUUUGUAGGCAUGUACCAAUGAUUUUUCUUUUGAUUUUUGUUGGUUUUUUAGUGGCAACAAAUGGAUAUUGAAUAUACUUUUUGGCAAAUGCUUCACCUAUGCACCUCACCGAAAGUUGUGUAAGUAUUCACCUUUCCAGAUCAUCAGUAUCCUCAUUACUGUUGUGUUUUGUUGCUCAUGAUUUCCUUAAUAAUGAGUUUUGUAUCUUGUAUGUGGAACUGUGCGACUGAUGCAGCUAUCAGCACACUAAAUAUCACAAGCGUAAGUCCCUUUUCCAUGAAAAAUAAGAAGCAGAUGUUUUAUUUGUGUGCCUUCGAAGUGAUUACAUGUCAAAAUUGUGAAAUAUUUCUGCUACAUCUGAUGCAAUUGAAAAUUGGUUUACUUUCCUUUUGGUCUCAGAAACUAAGAAUCAAUGGGCACGCGAUGAUCCUGCUUUUGUUGUAAUCUGCAGCGUUCUACUUGCAGUUGCAACUCUGGCUUAUUGUGCCGCGUAAGUUUACUGUUCGCUAAUCCUACACUCUACAUGUAAUAGUUGCAUUUUGGAUUUAGUUGUUCAUCUGAAUUUGAUAUUGCCUUUGCCUCAAAAGUUCUAGCCUAAUUGCAGUUUAUAUUAUUUAUUUAUUUUUAUAGGUUUAGACGGGUCUAAGAGUUCUGUGAGGAAUCCCUUGUUGACUUAUAUAUUAUUUUUAUUAUUUCAGGUACGACCAUAGUGCUGCACAUGCUGUUUUUGUAGUUAUUUCCGUUUUGUUUUUUCAUUUUUUGUUCAUCGGGAUGCUUCUGGCUACAUUUUGCUGGUAAGAACUAGUGCUCUCUAACACUAAUGUGAACUCGUAUUGUCCGAUCCCUGAAAUAUGUUAGUUCUUAAUUCUUAUUCAGGCCCAAUUGUUUCAUGAAAAAAUUGAAGGAACAAAUAAGUUUUGUGGAACCAAAUUUCUUGUAUUUUCUUACCCAAUUUUUUAGAUAAACAAAGCUAUUUUCCAUAGAAGUAGGAAAACAUGUUUGUUUGAUGUCACCUGUCGAUGCCAAGCCACCUUGAGUUUCCUAGUCACUUAAACAUUCACUAAAAGGCUUCUAUAUGUUGAAAAACACGCCCACUAGACCUUGUUCUUUAAUGUAACCAACAGCAAUAGACUAAACUAGCAAAUAUAGAAAACUUAGAAACACACAAGAAUUAUAUUGGUUCGGCAGAACUUUUGCCUACGUCCAGUUGUGAUUUCUCAAGGUAGAGAAAUCACUGCUCCUUUGAUUAAUAAUAGAGAUUACAGAACUUUUGCAAACCCUAGAACUAAUCUCAAAACUAUCGGCUGUCUCUGGCUGUUCUCUCUCUAAAAAAUUAAGCCUUGCCGCACCCUAUUUAUAGUCAUAGGUUAGGCUUACAUGUCCCAAGGUUGAUUGAAUUCCUAUUUCUAAGUGGAUUAGGAAUUUACAUUUAUCCAAAUCCAAAUAGACUUCUAGAAAUCCAAAUCUAAAUUGAAUAAGGAAAACUGAAAUUCUUUCCUAAUUGCUCUAGGACAAUAAUCGGUAUACCUCUAAUUUUCCUAAAACAAACCCAAACCGACUAGGACAUAUUUGACGACCCAAAAAUUCUAACAAUCUCCACCUUGGUAAGUAAAACCAAGUCUUGAUCCUUGCACCCCAGAGUAUCUUUGAACCUUCUUGAAGCAGCUCUAGAAAUCUUCAAGAGUCUUCACCUUGGCAAUCUUCUUCUUGCCUCAUUGCACCUCAAGUGAGGAGGUGCUCCACUUUGAUCUUGGCCAUCACUAUCUUAAUCUGCGGCAUUGUCAUCCGUAUGAAUCUUUUCAAUCCAAAUGUCUUUAGACUCCACCCAAUCUCUGAUUCUAUGAUACCUUGCUUCAAUGUGUUUUGAUCUUCCAGAAAAAACUUGAUUCUUUGCCAAGUGAAUGGCACUUUGACUAUCACACUUCAGCUUCACACAAUCUUGAGUGAUUCCCAUUUGACUUACCAAGCCACUAAGCCAAAUUGCUUCCUUUCCAGCUUUGGCCAAUGCAAUAUACUCUGCCUCUGUGGUCGACAAAGCUGUAAUUGGUUGCAGUAGUGCCCUCCAACUAAUUGGUCCUCCUGCGCAUGUAAACACAUAACUAGAAGUUGACCUUUUCUUGUCCAAGUCCCCUGCAUAAUCGACAUGCACAUAUCCUAACACUCCUGCAUUUUCUUUUUGCUUUUCAAACGCAAUCCAACUCCGCCUAUGUCUUACAUGGCCGGUCCCAAGCCCGGAUAAAGGAGGAGGGGGAGGGCGUCAGGUAGUCGACAGCCGGCACUCCAUGAUCACGUCGAAUCCUUAUGAAAAUGAAUCCAGAACAAAAUCGCGCUAAAGCUAGGGCGUCACCCGUAAGUGGCGCGCUGUGUGGCCUGAGCACAGUGAUAAGUGAGCAAGGGUCGCUGUAUCUCCAUCGGCACCCGGAUGCAGUGUUAAAUGAGCAAGGGGGCCAUAGAAACUUCUUUUCGAACGACUCCACUCAAAGUUGUUUGGGAGCAUAUGCUCCUAUCAACUUUACCCGGGACACACAAAAGAAGUACUUUGAUCCUAUUAGACGGGGGAGGGUGAAGAAGCUAGGACAGAAGGGUAGAGUUCAAGAGAGCAAAAUGCGUUUAGGAACGUGGAAUAUAGGAACCUUAACGGGAAAAUCUAUGGAAGUAGUGGAAGUUAUGGUGAGGAGAAGGAUAAAUAUUAUGUGCCUACAAGAAACUAAGUGGGUUGGUAGUAAGGCAAAGGAUCUAGAAAACUCAGGGUUUAAACUUUGGUAUUCGGGCACAAAUAGAACGAGAAACGGUGUUGGCAUCAUCGUGGACAAGACCUUGGUACAAGAUGUUGUAGAUGUCAAGAGGGUAGGAGAUAGAAUCAUGGCAAUCAAGAUUGUAAUAGGACAAGAACUUAUCAAUGUGAUUAGUGCGUACGCACCUCAAGUAGGGUUGGAUACGAGUUCGAAGGAGAAAUUUUGGGAAGAUCUUGGAGACUUGGUGCAAGGAAUUGCUCAGACGGAGAAGUUAUUUAUAGGAGGAGAUUUAAAUGGACACGUGGGCAGGGAGACAGGCAACUAUGGAGGUUUUCAUGGUGGCCAUGGUUUUGGGGAGAGAAAUGAGGAUGGGGAAGCUAUCUUGGAUUUUGCAAUGGCAUAUGAUCUCUUCUUAGCCAACACCUUCUUUAAGAAGAGAGAAGAACAUGUGAUCACCUACAAGAGUGGGUCGUCAAAAACACAAAUAGAUUUUCUUCUAAUGAGGAAAGGGGAUCGUAUAACUUGUAAGGAUUGCAAAGUUAUACCAGGAGAGAGCGUGGCUAAUCAACAUCGCUUGUUGGUGAUGGAUGUACAUAUCAAAAGAGUAAGACAAAAGAACAAGACUUGGAAGUGCCCAAGGACUAGAUGGUGGAAUCUAAAAGAAGAAAAACAAGCAAUUUUCAAAGAGAAGGUAAUCACCCAAUGUGUGUGGGAUAGAGAGGGGGAAGCUAGCCAAAUGUGGGAUUCCAUGGCUAGUUGUAUCCGAAAAGUAGCAAAAGAGGUAUUAGGAGAGUCCAAGGGCUUUGCCCCACACCAAAAGGAAUCUUGGUGGUGGAAUGAGGAGGUACAAACAAAGGUGAAGGCUAAGAAGGAAUGUUGUAAAGCCUUAUACAAGGAGAGGACUGAUGAAAAUGGUGAAAGGUAUAGAAAAGCGAAGCAAGAGGCGAAGAAAGCUGUCAGAGAAGCUAAGUUAGCGGCUUACGACGAUAUGUAUAAACGACUAGAUACCAAAGAAGGAGAGUUGGAUAUCUAUAAACUAUCUAGAGCAAGGGAAAAGAAGACAAGGGACCUAAACCAAGUGAGGUGCAUCAAGGAUGAGGAUGGAAAGGUUCUUGCUACAGAGAACGCGGUUAAAGACAGAUGGAGAGGUUAUUUUCAUAAUCUUUUCAAUGAAGGACAUGAAAUGAGUGCUUCUUUAGGGGAGUUGAGUAACUCAGAAGAGUGUAGAAACUACUCCUUUUAUCGUCGAAUCCGGAAGGAAGAAGUGGUUGUAGCUUUGAAGAAGAUGAAGCAUAAAAAAGCAAUAGGCCCAGACGAUAUACCAAUCGAAGUGUGGAAACUUUUGGGAGAGACAGGUAUAACAUGGCUCACUGACCUUUUCAAUAGGAUUUUGAAAACGAAGAAGAUGCCAAAUGAGUGGCGAAUGAGCACUUUGGUGCCUAUCUACAAGAAUAAGGGCGACGUACAAAAUUGCAUGAACUAUAGGGGUAUUAAGCUAAUGAGUCAUACAAUGAAGCUCUGGGAGAGAGUCAUUGAGCAUAGAUUGAGGCAAGAGACACGGGUUUCGGACAACCAAUUCGGGUUCAUGCCAGGGCGCUCAACCAUGGAGGCAAUCUAUCUCUUACGAAGAUUGAUGGAAAGAUAUAGAGAUGGGAAAAAGGAUUUACACAUGGUCUUUAUAGAUUUGGAAAAAGCGUAUGAUAGGGUCCCAAGAGACAUUCUUUGGAGGAUUUUAGAGAAGAAAGGAGUACGAGUAGCAUAUAUCCAAGCUAUAAAGGAUAUGUAUGAAGGAGCAAAGACUGCCGUAAGAACUCAUGAAGGACAAACCGAAAGCUUUCCCAUAACUGUAGGAUUACAUCAAGGCUCAUCCUUAAGUCCUUACCUUUUUGCGUUGGUAAUGGAUGAGUUAACACGACAUAUUCAAGAUGAUAUUCCUUGGUGUAUGCUUUUCGCAGACGAUAUAGUAUUGAUAGAUGAAACUCAGGAAGGGGUAAAUGCAAAGCUUAACCUUUGGAGAGAAGUGUUGGAAUCUAAAGGUCUUCGCCUAAGCCGAUCAAAGACAGAAUAUAUGGAGUGCAAGUUCAGUGCAAAUGGAGGCCAAAACGAGUUAGGGGUGAGGAUCGGAGAUCAAGAAAUACCAAAGAGCGACCGUUUUCGUUACCUAGGAUCUAUCUUGCAAAAGAACGGAGAAUUAGAUGGAGAUCUCAACCAUAGAAUACAAGCUGGAUGGAUGAAGUGGAAGAGUGCAUCCGGCGUGUUGUGUGACCGCCGUAUGCCAUUGAAGCUCAAGGGAAAAAUUUUAUAGGACGGCAAUAAGGCCGGCGAUGCUGUAUGGCACAGAAUGUUGGGCGGUGAAACAUCAACACGUACACAAAAUGGGUGUAGCGGAGAUGAGGAUGCUUCGUUGGAUGUGUGGGCACACGAGAAAGGAUAAGAUUAGGAAUGAGGAUAUCCGGGGUAAAGUAGGAGUAGCCGAAAUUGAAGGAAAGAUGAGAGAAAAUCGGUUACGGUGGUUUGGACAUGUGCAAAGAAGGCCUACUGACGUUCCGAUUAGAAGAUGCGACUAUGGGACAGAGGUUCAGGGCCGAAGGGGUAGAGGAAGACCUAGGAAAACUUUGGAAAGAGACUCUAAGAAAAGACUUAGAGUACUUGGAUCUAACGAAGGACAUGACACAGGAUCGAGCACAAUGGCGUUCUAAGAUUCAUAUAGCCGAUCCCACUCAGUGACUUGGAUUUUCCAAGUCUCCAACCGAGAAGUUUUCCUCAUUCGGGAAAUUAAGAGAACACUACCCCAACCUACAUGCUCCACUCAGAAAGCUUCAACAUACAAGCUUUAACAAAAGAAAAUUCAAAGAACUUAGCGAAGAAGGCUUUGGUGUAUUUAACACAAUACGUUGAAAUGAAGGAAAGCUUAUUUAUUGAUAUCCCCGAUAAGCUACAAAUAUGUACAUAUACAUGAGUCAAAAUAAGCACACAAGAGGGAGCCUUCACAAAGGUUGCUUAGGAGAAGUCUCAGCAGUCGGUAGAGCCCCAGAAAGAGAAGGCACCGGAGGGGGAUCAUUUGGAGCCUCAGUACUGGACAGAACCCUAGAAGGAGGAGGCAUCAGAGGUUGAUCAUUUGGAGCUUCAUUACGCGGUACAGCCCCAGAUACGAAGGCAAUAAAUGCCUUUGGAACAAACCCACAAAUCUCUGAUGAUCAAGUAAAACCUGACCAUCAGUUUCCUUCAUCUGGUCAAGCUUCCUCUUCAUGUUUGUAGCAUAGUCAUGUGCGAGCCGGUGCAACUGUUUAUUCUCAUGCUUGAGCCUUCUAAUCUCCUGUUUGAGACUCAUCACUUCAGCCGCCAAUGAUUCAACUUGGCGGGUUCGAGCAAAUAGGCGUUGGGCCAUAUUAGACACAGAACCUGCACACUGAACACUGAGAGCCAGCGAAUCCUUAACAGCUAACUCAUCAGACCGUUUGGAAAGUAGUCUGUUAUCUUUGGGAGUGAGAAGGUUCCUGGCCACCACCGCAGCGGUCAUAUCAUUCUUCAUCACGGAAUCCCCAACGGUAAGAGGACCAGUAGGGGAGACGAAGGAUGGGCGCCAUAUGUUGUCUGGAGAAGCCGGGGCUGCCUCUUCAACAAGGUUCAAGUCAAAACGACGGUCGGAGGGGCCAGACAUUUUCAAAGGUGUUGAAGAGAGAAGAGGUCGGACAAAUCAAGAUCUUAGAAGUGCAAGAAUGAAGCUUCUACUGGUGGAGAUUUAAGUGUGCUUUGGAACUUAAUGCCAGCCCCUAUAAAAAUCUGCACUCGACGAAGCUUCAGAAAUCGAAGAGGCGCCUGCUCAGAAAUCGAAGAGGCGUUUGCUUUCUCAAAAGCUGGGCUGCUUAGAGAUCACGAGGGUUGAUCUCAGAAAUCGAAGAGGCGUUUGCUUUCUCAAAAGUUGGGCUGCUCAAAGACCACGAAGGCCAAUCUCAAAAAUCGAAGAGGCGCUCGCUUUCUCAAAAGCUGGGCUCCCUAGAGACCACGAGGGCCGAUAUCAGAAAUCGAAGAGGCACCUACUUUUCCAACCUUUUCCAGCCUUGUCAGCACCUGUCACACGCACACUCAGUUUUGCGGAAAUUAUGGGCAUUCUGUCAAAGACUUCUGGGGAAGUAGAAAACACAUGAAUCUUACUGUUCAAUCACCCACUUCCUACACGCAACAAUAGCUCAUGGGUACCACAGAUAACUUUGCCAAAGUUCUCUGCCAAAGUUGAGCACGUGAAGCUUGCAGCUCCCACUACAUCGCUCUGACCAAGAAGGGUAAAAGAAUAGCAAAGAAACAGCACUAACAAAGUUUAGACCCAUAAAUUUUGAAGGUCUAGCUACCAUAUUAUUACCCACAAGGGUAAAGGAACAGUACCACUGCUGGAUAAUUGGAAAGUCCCUGUGUGUCAACCUCUGUGCUUCGUGGCAAGGUAGACUAGCAAACAUGCCCAACCUUUACUCACAUUCGAGAAAAACACUCCCAAUAAGAUUGCUUGCUCCAAAAUCGAAGAGGCACCGUCCUCCGAAUCUCGAGAGCCAGACUCCCAACAUGACUACUUUCUUAAAAAUCGAAGAGAGGGUAAAGGAACAGUACCAUUGCUGGAUAAUUGGAAAGUCCCUGUGUGUCAACCUCUGUGCUUCGUGGCAAGGUAGACUAGCAAACAUGCCCAACCUUUACUCACAUUCGAGAAAACACUCCCAACAAGAUUGCUUGCUCCAAAAUCGAAGAGGCACCGCCCUCCGAAUCUCGAGAGCCAGACUCCCAACAUGAUUACUUUCUCAAAAAUCGAAGAGACACUGCUCCCCGAAUCUCGAGAGCCAGACCCCCAGCAUGAUUGCUUUCUCAAAAAUCGAUGAGGCAUCGUUCUCCGAAUCAAUCGAAAGAGGCGCUCGCUUUCUCAAAAAGCUGGGCUGCUCAGAGACCACGAGGGCCGAUCUCAGAAAUCGAAGAGGCACCUACUUUUCUAGCCUUGUCAACACCUGUCACACGCACACUCAGCUUUGCAGAAAUUAUGGGCAUUCUGUCGAAGACUUCUGGUGAAGUAGAAAGCACAUGAAUCUUACUGUUCAAUCACCCACUUCCCACACGCAACAAUAGCUCAUGGGUACCACAAAUAACUUUGCCAAAGUUCUCUGCCAAAGUUGAGCACGUGAAGCUUGCAGCUCCCACUACAUCGCUCUGACUAAGAAAGGUAAAAGAAUAGCAAAGAAACAGCACUAACAAAAGUUUAGACACAUAAAUUUUGAAGGUCUAGCUACCAUAUUAUUACCCACAACUGUAAAGGAACAGUACCACUGCUGGAUAAUUGGAAAGUCCCUGUGUGUCAACCUCUGUGCUUCGUGGCAAGGUAGACUAGCAAACAUGCCCAACCUUUACUCACAUUCGAGAAAACACUCCCAAUAAGAUUGCUUGCUCCAAAAUCGAAGAGGCACCGUCCUCCGAAUCUCGAGAGCCAGACUCCCAACAUGACUACUUUCUCAAAAUCGAAGAGAGGGUAAAGGAACAGUACCAUUGCUGGAUAAUUGGAAAGUCCCUGUGUGUCAACCUUUGUGCUUCGUGGCAAGGUAGACUAGCAAACAUGCCCAACCUUUACUCACAUUCGAGACAACACUCCCAACAAGAUUGCUUGCUCCAAAAUCGAAGAGGCACCACCCUCCGAAUCUCGAGAACCAGACUCCCAACAUGAUUACUUCCUCAAAAAUCGAAGAGACACUGCUCUCCGAAUCUCGAGAGAGUCAUACCCCCAGCAUGAUUGCUUUCUCAAAAAUCGAAGAGGCAUCGUUCUCCGAAUCUCGAGAGCCAGAUACCACAGACCACUUUUUCAAAGUGCUUUGACAGAGUUAAAACAUGUGAAACUGGCAGCUCCCACUACCGUGCUAUGACCAAGCAGGGUAAAGGAAUAGCAUUACUACUUGUUGUUAGGGAGACUCCUAUAUAUGUCGACCUCCAUCCCCAACGGACAGGCAGACCUGCAAAAAUGCUCAACCCUUCAUCAUAUCUGAGAGGGCACUCCCAACGAAGCCUUUCGAAAUAUUCAGCUUUCUUUCCCCCCGAUAAUACCUCUGCAAACAAGCUAUACUAGAGCAAGAAUAUCUCAUAUCAUCAGGGUUAAAAGCAAGAGUAUCCCAUAUCAUGCUUUUUCCCUGUCUUUUCUUUUGGCCUUGUUUUUACCUGCAAGACAAGGAGAAAAGAGAGCAAUCAGUCAGCACUUGGAAUCAAGCUUCCAGCCAGGAACUGACUGCCUGGAACCCCUUACCUGAUUACUUACCUGGCAUUGCUCUCGAGUACUCAUCUUCAACAUCUUAUGUUUCCAGGGAAGAUUCCGCAUCUGCUUGAGGAACAGAUAGGGCAAGUGCGAAGGAUACAAGGAAGCAUGUGGAGACAAGCGUAACAGCACACGUGCCGAUACAUUCAUUACUCUGUCAAAAGCAAAAGUAUCCCAUAUCAGCAGGGUGGAACGUACUCUAGAUUUGAUGGACUUGUUUUGACCCUCAAAUUCUUCAGUCGGCCUUAUACUCUGGAGGAAACCAGAAAACCCUCCAGCUCAGUUCAAGAAUAAGCCUGUGGAAAGUUACUUCUUCAAAAGCAAAAGUAUCUCAUAUCAUCUCUUCUCAUUUUUCUUCUCUUUAUCCUUCAUGCUGCUGCAAGAUGGGGAGAAGGUGAACAAUCAGUCGGAGCUCUGAUUGCUUACCUUGUCUGUCACCUCUUUCAGCAGACCCCCUAGCUCGGCGACUUGGGGGACUCCUACUACAUGGUUUGUAUCGCGCUUGACCAAGCCUGAAACUACAAGUAAGCUUCAAGUGAAAUUGAUACAUUACCUUGUGCAUCUCCACCAGUUAAAGAUACCACCCCUGGAUGGAGGAAGAGUACUUCCAGAGAAGAUGCCACAUCUACCUAUGAGACAGAUAAGGCAAGUCAAGACGACACCACACUCCGAUACUUAGAAGUUUCGUGAUUACGAGAUCAUUCUCCCACAAUAUUUCCUAAUGUCAUUUGUACUAAAUCAUUCACUUGUACUCACUAAAUGAGAGCUUGAACCUAUGUACUUGUGUAAACCCUUCACAAUUAAUGAGAACUCUUCUAUUCCGUGGACGUAGCCAAUCUGGGUGAACCACGUACAUCUUGUGUUUGCUUUCCUAUCUCUAUCCAUUUAUAUACUUAUCCACACUAAUGACUGGAGCAAUCUAGCGAAGAUCACAAAAAAGCGAUCGUUUUCGCUACCUAGGAUCUAUCUUGCAAGAGAACGGAGAAUUAGAUGGAGAUCUCAACCAUAGAAUACGAGCUGGAUGGAAAGAGUGCAUCCGGCGUGUUGUGUGACCGUCGUAGGCCACUGAAGCUCAAGGGAAAAAUUUUAUAGGACGGCAAUAAGGCUAGCGAUGUUGUAUGGCACAGAAUGUUGGGUGGUGAAGCAUCAACACGUACACAAAAUGGGUGUAGCGGAGAUGAGGAUGCUUCGUGGGAUGUGUGGGCACACGAGAAAGGAUAAGAUUGGGAAUGAGGAUAUCCGAGGUAAAGUAGGAGUAGCCGAAAUUGUAGGAAAGAUGAGAGAAAAUCGGCUCCGGUGAUUUUGAACAUGUGCAAAGAAGGCCGACUGACGCUCCGGUUCGAAGAUGUGACUACGGGACAGAGGUUCAGGGCCGAAGGGGUAGAGGAAGACCUAGGACAACUUUGGAAGAGACUCUAAGAAAAGACUUAGAGUACUUGGAUCUAACGGAGGACAUGACACAAAACCGAGCGCAAUGGCGUUCUAGGAUUCAUAUAGCCGACCCCACUUAGUGGGAAAAGGCUUUGUUGUUGUUGUUGUUGUUGUUUUCAAACGCAAUCCUUUGUCACCAAGAACCCUUCAAAUAACACAAAAUCCACUUGACUGCAUCCCAAUGUUGCUUUCCUGGAUUUGCCAUGUAUCUGGAAACGACGACACUGACUGCUUGAGCUAUGUCGGAACGUGUGCAUACCAUUGCAUACAUGAGGCAGCCCACGACAUUAGCAUAAGGCACCUUUUCCAUUAUUUGUUGCUCUUCCUCGGACGUAGGACAUUGUUGCCCACUUAACAUGAAGUGAGCUGCCAAGGGAGUCGAGACUACCUUUGCUUCUUGCAUGUUGAACUUCUCAAGAACCUUCUGAAUAUACUUGGCUUGUGAUAUUCAGAUCUUUCCAACUGUCCUACCUCUUUGAAUUUCCAUGCCAAGGAUCUUCUGUGCAGCACCUAGAUCCUUCAUGUCAAACUCCUUGCUCAACAUCUUCUUCAAGUCUUCAAUUCUAGACUUGUCUUGACAAGCAAUUAACAUGUCAUCCACAUAUAGCAAUAGUAAUACGAUCAUCCCAUCUUGGAAUACAUGAUAGUACACGCAACAGUCAUAUAAACAUCUUCUAAAAUUGAUUUUCAGCAUGAAGGAAUCAAAUCUCUUGUACCACUGCCUUGGAGACUGUUUCAGGCCAUACAGGGACUUCCUUAGCUGACAUAUUAGGUUCUCUUUCCCAUAUUCAACAAACCCUUCUGGUUGAGCCAUGAAAAUCGUCUCCUUUAGAUCCCCAUGAAGAAACGCUGUCUUCACAUCCAUUUACUCAAUCUUCAUAUCAUGCUAAGCUGCCAUUGCUAAAAGUAAUCUGAUAGAAGUAUACUUGACUACAGGUGAAGAGAUCUCAUCAUAAUCCAUCCCUUCCUUUUGUGAGUACCCCUUAGCCACGAGCCUUGCUUUGAAUCUCACGGCAUCUUGUUCAUGUAGUCCUUCCUUUUUCCUAAAUACCCACUUGCAUCCAACUAGCUUUUUGUCUUUGGGCUUAGGAACCAACUCCCAAACAAAGCUCUUGUAAAGAGACUCCAUUUCUUUUGUCAUAGCACUUAUCCAACCAUCUUGCUCAUCACUUACUAUAUCUUCUUGAUAAGUAGUCGGAUCUCGACUAAUGUUAAAGAGCAUAAUUGAACUUUGCAUAAACCUCGGAUUUAUGCUUCAUGAAAUAAACCCAAACCUUCCUAGAAAAAUCAUCCAUGAAAGUAACAAAAUACCUGGCUCCACCAUUUGAUUUAGUUGGUGCAGGGCCCCAAACAUCUGAGUGAAUAUAGCUGAGUUGCUCUUUGCUUCGGUUAUCUGCACUGCUACUUGCGAAUGAUACCUUUCCUUGCUUCCCGAGAAUACAGUAUUCACAAAAGUCCAGUUUGCAAGAUGACACGCCUUCUAACAGGCCUUGCUUGUGUAAUUCAUGCAACCCCUUCUGGCUUAUGUGCCUAAGCCUAUGAUGCCAGAGUUCAGUCUUGUCUUCUACACUCUGAUUUUCAGAAACAGCUGCUCCCCCGACCAUGGUGGUCCCAAUUAACUUAUACAGCUUAUUGGGUUGUAGGUCACCUUGCAUUACCACUAGCGACCCUUUGGUUACCCUGAGUCUUCAUUUUUUAGACUUGUACCCAUAAUCGGCCUCAUCUAAAGUACCCAAGGAAAUCAAAUUCUUUCUUAGUCUAGGGACAUUUCUAACGUUCCCCAAAGCUCGUAUCAUUCUAAUUCGAACAGUGUCGAUUCCUCUUACAGGACAUGAAGAAUUGUCCCCCAUUAAGACUUCCCCGCUGCUGACUUCUUUGUAAGUAUCGAACCAUUCUCAUAUUGCACACAUAUGAAAAGUGCAUCCAGUAUCCAAAAUCCAAUUUGUGAAAGCCUUAGAGCCUGAUGUUACUGAAAGAAGCUCCCCGUCACUCUCAUGCUCGGUGAUUGCACUAGCUGAACCUGAGCUUCCUUCCAUCUUGGCUUUCUUCUCUUUCCAAAUCUUGCAUUUCCUUUUCUACUGAUCGGUUGAACCACAUUUGAAGCAACCUUCUUUCUUUUCCUUUUUCUUUUUGGAUUUUGACCUACUUCUGUUGCCGAUUUUUUCUUCCUUUGUCUUUUCCCGUCCCUUCUCCUUGCCUUUGGCAUAAAGGCCUUGAGAGCUUUUAGUUAUAUCAUCCAGUUUAGCAUAUGACUGAAGAGCUUGAAUUACGUCUUCAAGCUUCAGGGACUCUUUUCCAAACAUUAGAGUUGUUCGAAAGUGCUUGAAAGAUGAAGGUAGAGACCUCAGCAAGAUGAUAGCCAUAUCAUCAUCUUUGUAAGUUUCUUCGACCUUCUGAAGAUUAACUACGCAAUUCUGGAACCUGCAUACAUGAUCUUCAAUAUCACCUCCUAGUCGAAGCCCGAAUAGUUCAUCUUUUAGAAAAAGUUUAUUGGACAUGGUUUUGCCCAUAUAAUCAUUCUCCAGCUUUUCCCAUGCUUCCUGGGCAGUCAUCUUUUCGGUGAUGUGUGACCGAACUGAUCUUGUAAGAUGGAUCUCGAUGGAACUCUUGGCCUUCUUGAGAACCUUAGUCCAUGUUGCUUCUGUCAUGUUUUCCGGCUUCUCACCAUUGAGUGCAUCAUCCAAAUCCUUCUGUAUCAGUAUGUUCUUCAUCAUCCUUUGCCAGUCCGUGAAGUCAUCAUUGCCGUCAAAGGGCUUUAACGCAGGUCCUGGAUCCACAUUCAUCUUCCCUUUUGACUUCGUAGAACACCUUGAUCCUAGCUCUUGAUACCAAUUGUUGAAACACACCCACUAGACCUUGUUCUUUAAUGUAACUAACGACAAUAGACUAAACUAGCAAAUAUAGAAAAACUUAGAAACACACAAGAAUUAUACUAGUUCGGCGGAACUUUUGCCUACGUCCAGUUAUGAUUUCUCUAGGUAGAGAAAUCACCGCUCCUUUGAUUAAUAAUAGAGAUUAUAGAGCUUUUGCAAACCCUAGAACUAAUCUCAAAACUCUCGGCUGUCUCUGGUUGUUUUCUCUCUCUAAAAAAUUAGGCCUUGCUGCACCCUAUAUAUAGGCAUAGGGUAGGCUUACAUGUCCCAAGGCUGAUUGAAUUCCUAUUUCUAAGUGGAUUAAGGAAAUUACACUUAUCCAAAUCCAAAUAGACUUCUAGAAAUCCAAACCUAAAUUCAAUAAGGAAAACUGAAAUUCUUUCCUAAUCGCUCUAGGACAAGAAUCGGUAUACCUCUAAUUUUCCUAAAACAAACCCAAACCGACUAGGACAUAUUUGACGACCCAAAAAUCCUAACACUAUAUAAGCAAGUAGUGAGUAUGAAACAAUCUAUCUAAAGACAAAGAUCAUGUUAGUUGCAUGAACAUAUGAGAGUGAAAUGUUUGAUGAUUUCAUAUGUUUUGGUGUAAACGUGAAUCUGGGUCUCUUAUAAAUAGCUAGUUGCUGGUAACAACACAUUAUUAAUUUCUCAAAAGUCUAUGAAGGAAACUAAUAUUUGGAGAACUUUUAAGUGUAAAUAUUUUAGUUCUGAGUCUCUUUUAUAACUUUUUCAGUUCUCAGUCUCCUUAUCUAUAGAGUUCUCAAUCUUCAUUCAUACUUGACACCACAGUGUGAAGUAUUGCUCAUCUAAUGGCAAAGUCCACUUCUCAAUGUUCAUGCAGGUUUUUGACUAAUUCUUACCUCCGUGAAGAGGCUCCGAAUAGCCAUGUUGUUGAGCAGCAUGUUGAAUGGUGAGUCCAUUAUCCUUUAUUUCCACUUUAUUAGCAAUAUGAUUCUUACUGAACAAUUCAACUUAGUCUUUCUCCUGAUCCUAUAUCAUCAGCAUGUACGUUCAUGUGCAUGUUAUGUAUGUGAAUAUGAUUUUAGAUUGAUUGAAUCUCCCAGAACUAGUAAUUUAAAUUAUAUGUGUAUUUCUAACUUUUAUUUCGAUUCUUGUUUCACCUUCUGAUCAAUUAUUUUGUUGUGAUUUUGGUCAAUUGAAGGCUGUACGCGUUUGAUGUGCACUGCAACUCUUUCUUCCCGAUGUUUGUUCUGCUUUAUGGUAGUUAAUACAAAAAUAUGUUUUCCUUAUCAUAUUUUUAUUCUCAAAUGUGUGAAAUAAUGCUUUUGGUGUCUUGGUUCUGCAGUGAUCCAUUAUUUUCUAUCACCAAUUUUGGUAGCUCAUGGCUUCCUUCCUGUAUUGCUAUCAAAUUUGAUAUUCAUGGUGGCCACUUCAUACUAUCAUUAUCUCAACUUUUUAGGUUAUGAUGGUAAGCUAAUGAUUCCGUUCUGUGCUUGAAAAUUUUCAUUCAAAUGUUUAGGUUCAUUCGGUGUUUUGGAUGUGGAUACAAAGUAAUGUUGCUUAAAGGCCAAGAUUAAUGAAUUCAAUCAUAUUUCUAAUGAGCGAAAUGUGCAAUUGAUUUGUCAAACAUAGACUAGUAAGUAGUAACCAUCUAAACGGUUCACCUAUGCAUUAAUAUGCAUUAAUAUGUAGAGCUUCCACCACUUGCGGUGGAGAUGAGAGGUGGCCAGCAUUAUAGAUUUUUACAUUUCAAUUCUAGCAUUCUCCUCUAUAGUCAGUAAUAUUGAAUUCUCUUCAAGUUCUGUUUUUCUUUUCUGGAGUUCUCUUCCAAUUAAGUGGGCUCAUCAGCUUGUAAUGUAACGCAAUAACUUUAGAUUCGAAUGCAACUUGUUGAGUUUUUUCAUUUCCAUAUACGAUAAGAACUCUAUGAAACAUACUUGUCAAUGAUGUACUUCUUUGUUAGGAACUUGAGUUAGUUUGCCUUUGUGCGUCAUACUAAUUGCAUGCCCUAUGUUUUGCAGUGCUGCCCUUUCUGGAGAGGACCACUUUCUUCCUGUAUCCAAUCAGUGUUGUCAUUGUCCUCUCUCCGAUCUGUAAGUGUUGCAUGAACUCUCUCUUUUGAGUUUGCUUUCCCGUACACCUAGUGUCAAAAUUGUUUGUUUCCCGUCUGCAGUGAUUUUGAGUGGCUUCAGUCCUUCAAGAUACUUUAUGAACAUGUACUUUAGUCAACGAGUAUGGAUUUAAUUGAGGCAAACAUUUAAGACGGCACAUAUAUGUCAUGCUUGGGUUACUAAUUGAGAGGCCACAACUCGAGAAGGCAUCGGCGGAUUCUUGAUUGCUUAUGCAUGAUAUGAUUAUCAGCAGCAGGUCACAUUGGAAAAAGCUUGUGUGGCUUCCGUUGUAGUCAUUUUACCACUGUGAAUGAAGAUUGGACCAACAAAGAUAGGGCAUCAAGUGUGUUUUGAGAGAUGAACAUUGAUCCCAGAGAUGUAUCGAAUGCUACGAUUUGUCUGCAAAUCUAUGCUUUUCAUUUACAUAAAUUUUUGAAAAAUUAUAGUCGACGUGUUUUGAAGAUUCUGUUCCUGUUGUACCAAAAGAUAUUUUGGAGUCAAUUGAAUAGAAUAGCUACGGUUCAGCGUAGUACAUGUAUGGUGAAUUAGCAAUUGAAGAGAGUUGAGCCAUAUAAAACAGAUUCCUCAAUAAACAUGGACUUGUGUUUUUCUUCAUUUUAUUGUUCAAAGAUUGCUACCGGCUACCGGCUACCGGCCACAUCGACGACGAACCUGUACCUGACGUUGUUUUUCUCCAGCCUCUCGAAAGCUGUGCGGAUGUAGUCCAUCUGAACCACUUGGAUCAUAGUUGUCAAUCUUCUCUCUUUUGCAUAACUGAAGCUCCCUACGCAUAAUUGCACAGCACAGAGAGUAUAACAAUCCAUCUGUUGCUAGUCAGCCCCAAUAUGCCCCAAAGCCUCCUCUCUUCUUUUCUGAAGAGCUCAUCACCGUCACAUGGUGCCCCAUGUGUCCUACACCUGCCAGUCCCCAGCAUUCCUCCUUUUAAUCCCACCCACAUUCAGGCCCAAGUGCCCCAGCGGGCUGUACACCGUCACCCCCGCGCAAAGCAUUGGCGCCGCCUGUUCUGGCACCAUGCCCUCGGGUAUCUUCACCGCAAACCUUAACCAAAAUAAAUAAAUAAUUACAAAUCAACAAGGAUGGAGAUUCAAACUUUGGAAUCUCUUUCAAAGGAAGAGAAAUACAAUCAGACAAAAAUUAGUUAACAAGGUAAUAUUUGUUUAUAAGUGCAGAUUCUGGUUAACGGUGUGAUGUAAAAUAUAUGGCCAUGGUGAGAUAACGUUAUUUUAAUGGAUAAUGCCUUUUAAGAUCAUUUUUAACUCUUGGGUUAAAACUUAAAAUUUUUAAUCUAAAAAAAUUAGGUUUUAACUUGGAAACAAUUUUGACCAUUUUUUAUUUUUAUUUUUUGUAUCGUUAAAUUUGAUUAUAUUAGUCGUUAAAUUCAAUGAAUUUACAAAUAUACAAAAAAAAAAAAAAAAAAAAAAAAAAAAAGAGAAGAAUCUACACCGUGGGAUUAACCAACAAUCCAAUGAUCCAGCACCAUCGGAUGUAAGAAAAACCUGUUGGGCGCAUAAUGGUGGCAAGCACUUCCAUGUGCAUGGGCCUUGCACUGUAAGGGCCUCGCGCGUUGGUGGCAUUGGGCGCGUUUGCACUGUGUGUGUGUUUGUGGUGGUGUCCACGCACACAAGUGAGCCAGGCACACUAACCUAGUGUUGAAUCAUGGCCCAAAUUUACCCUAAAAUUGAGUUUUUGGUUAAAACUCAUUUUUGGUCUAAGAGUUGAAGCAACUUAAGUUGAGUUUGGAACUUAAAAUUUGAGUUUUAUCCAACGGUAGGACUAGGUCAGGAUAAGCUCAUUUCUCCACUCAGUUAUAAUGAAUCUCUACUAAAAAAAAAAAAAAUCAUGUGAAUUAGAUAUAGGUAGUAAUCUAAGGAUGUGUUCGUCGACAAAAGCUCACUCUCUCACAGCCAACCAAAUGAACAAGUCACACAAUCAGCAGAACCCAUGACGCGAUUUGGAUUCUGGUGGUAUUGGAAUGAUUAAUGUGCAACUCAUGGAACGAUUGGGUUUCAAACGUAGUGAUUUAAUAUUUUUUUGUUUUGUUUUUUGUUUCGAAUUCUGGGUUGGAUUUUUGAAAAUCGACUUCAAAUUUUGGGUUGUUUCGAAUUCUGGGUUGAAUUAUAGGUUUCAGAUUCCGCUAUCUGGUUUUGAAAAUGGCUGAGCAAGUGAGGAAGAAGUAGAUGGGAGAGGCGAAGCAGGGAGAGACAAAGCGGAGUUGAUUGGUCUUAGUAGUCCGCCCUAUUUUGGGGGGUCUCUCUAAGACCCUUUCGCGAACCCGUUAGUUCAUGCGAGCCCCACUUUGUCCCACUAAAGUUAGUCCCCACGGGGAAUCAAACGCAGGAUUACACAAACACUUAAUCUAGUCUAGUCCAGUCCCACUUAGUGAGAGCAAACAAACGCGCCAUAAAUGAAUGAAAUAAAUCAAUGGCUCAUCAUGAAUUUAUUUCUUAGUACCUAUACGUUUGAUUUAUUUGAUAUGUUGAAUGUUAAACGAUAUUAGAUUUGAAUGAUUUUUCCUAUUGAUGAUCUUCAAAUGAAGAUUAAGAGAUUAAACAGUUAUGAUUAUAAAUUUCUACGGUAAAUAUACAUUGUUUGUGAGGAUAAGCUCAUCCCAUAAAAUUGAGGGAGAAUGCAAGUAUUACUUUUGGUCAACCACCAUUGCACCGGAAAAGCCGCCUUUGGUGGGUUUGCCAUAGGUGCAAACGUCAGCGUACGUCCAGAUUUUCUUGUUGCAGUAUUGCUCAUUAUCUGUGUUGCAAGGGUUGCAGUUUCUGCAGCAACCAACAACGAGGCCAACUCCUACCACAUCUCCUACUCUGAACUUGGUCACAUCUGAUCCAGCCUCGACCACCUUACCAACCACUUCAUGCCUGUUCUCGAGCAACACAUAUCAUAAUUACUAAAAUCAUCAGUCGCACGUGUAGAAUUGAUCGUGUGCAGCUGGCUUUAGCAUUUCUCGUGAUAGAAACAUAUAGAAAAGGAAGAAUGAUUUAUCAUACCCAGGAACCAGGGGAUAGUGUGACAUGCCAAGUUGAUUUUUUGCCAGGUGCGUAUCGGUGUGGCAAACUCCACAGAAUAGGACUUUGAUGUAAACAUCUUCUGGGCCUGUGUUUCUGCAUAUGGUUUUAAUAAAAAAGAUUCAGCUGCCACAUAAAAUAGAUCACUACUACUCACUAUAUUUACCAAAUUUAAUAGAUUAACGAACAUGUCGUAAUACUUCAGUUCCAAAUACGAGAGAGAACUGAGAAAAUCAUUUAGUAAACAAAUUUAGCGAAUAUGUAUGUCAUACAGAAAGGGAGGGACAUAAAGUUUUAUUACCUAAGAGUGCAGGUGUAGGGUGAGAGAAUGCCAGAUGCGUCUCUUGCAGCCCAUGCUGUUGUUGUUCUCUCCACUUCUAGGUUGCCCAUUUGAAUUUGUUUGAGAGAGAGAGAGAGAGUGAGAGAGAGAGAGAGAGAGAGAGAGAGGGAGAGGAUGGGUUGGCGAGUUUUUGAGAGGAGAGGCCAAGUUUUUGGGUAUUAAAAGAAGCACAAAGUAAGGUAUUAAAUAGAGAAGGAAAGCCAAAUUUAGGUUAAGAAGAUGGACACCUAUGCUUGUCUACUGAAAUGAAGAGAAGAAAAGUUGGUUUUCUUUGUUAUGGUGACAUUUUUUAACUCUAUACUUUUGACACGUGCAUUGCAUUCUCCACGCUUUCAUCCAACUGGCAAAUGGAAAUAGUAACAUCUAGAUUUUGGUACAAUUCUUCAAACAAAACAAAAUAUGAAUUUUUUUUUUGGGUCAAAUUAUGAAAUUGAAUAAAUGGUGAACCAUGUUAUUAAAUUAUACGCUUAAAUUUUGAUGACGUUAAUUGAAAGGUCGAAAGAUUUUUGAUUUGGUAAAUUUUUUACAAAGUUGAUCUUCAUAAGGUGAAUUGUAAAAGAAGAUAAUAGUUAUGAUCAUGUGCAACAUUGCACAAUUAGAGAGGGAACUGAGAUGGCAGAACGAGAAGGUCCGACUAAGAAUGUUCGUAGCAUCACCCAUGAAUAAGUCAACACCAACGAAAGUAAACAAGAAGAAACGAGGAAAAAUAGUGACAUUUAACACAAAUGAAAAGCUCGACUUCAAUAUUUUCCAGCCAUAUCGAUCAUAAAAUCCACGUUUUUGGAACGAUCAUAAAAUAGUGACUUCAAUAAUUCAGGUCUCGAGCGAGUAGGCUCAAAUUUAAAUAGCAUUUGUGGCAGAGUAAUUUUUACAAUGGCAUAUAGCUCAAAUAAUCCAUGGGAUGAAUUAGUGGGUAGUUGGUUUACAAAUAAUAUCCUUACCAUCUAAUUAUGCUGCAAUUUCAUAUCACAUGACGUGGCAGGUGAGGUGAGGUGAGGUGAGGUGAGGUGGAUACUCACUAAUGUAGAAUGGCUAGGAGAGAUAUUCAUGGAGCAGCUUGACAAGCGUAAAUCAAAGAAAAUUCAGUCUUACAUGAACGUGUUUCUUCAUUUUAUUGAUCAAAGAUUGCUACCGGCCACAUCGACGACGAACCUGUACCUGACGUCGUUUUUCUCCAACCUCUCGAAAGCUGUGUUGAUGUAGUCCAUCUUAACCACUUCGAUCAUAGUUGUCAAUCCUCUCUCUUUGCAGAACUGAAGCACCUCCUCUGUUUCCUUCAUGCUCCCAACAAAGCUCCCUGUGAUCGUCUUCCUCCCUAUGCAUAAUUGCACAGCAGAGAAAAUAAAACAAUGGGUCAGUCACUAGUCUUAUAAACCUUAAGCAGUUAGGGAAUAAUAUAACAAUAUACAUACAUACAUAUAUAUAUAUAUAUAUAUGAGUUCUUCAUGUUUAUCGCUUAGAUUCUAAGUUUACCACUUCUGAGUUCUAAAAGACCAAAAAUCUCGACUUCAAACCUAAAUCUAAGCUCGUAAGAUAAUUCUACACCUUAAAAAUAAGCAGCUCCCCUGAGAAAGGGAUUAAAAAGAGACAAUUUUGCACACAUUUUAACAAGGUUCAUAAAUAAGAGUGUUGCAGCAAGUGAAAAAAAAAAAGGUGUGCAAAUAUCAUUUUCCGAUCGAAAAUUUGAUUAAACAGCUGCCGGUUGAAGGCGGUGACAGAAGAUCGGACUCACCAAGCAUGACCAUUGGGGAAAGAAAUUGUAAUGGGGUGUUAAUAGCACCCAUCAAGAUCAAUUUGCCGUCAAGUUUCAACAAAGAGAGGUACGGCUCGAGUGGGUGGCCGACGGGCACUGUGUCAAUGAUGUAAUCCAAGGAGUCAGCAGCCUCCUGCAUUUUUGUGGCAUCUGAGCUGAUCAAGUACUCGUCGGCCCCAAUAUGCUCCAAAGCCUCCUCUCUCUUCUUUUCUGAAGAGCUUAUCACAGUCACAUGGUGCCCCAUGGCCUUGGCUAUCUUCACUCCCAUGUGUCCUACACCUCCAAGUCCAAGUAUUCCUCCUUUUAACCCAUCCACAUUCAGGCCAAAGUGCCUCAGUGGGCUGUACACCGUCACCCCCGCGCAAAGCAGCGGCGCCGCCUGUUCUGGCACCAUGCCCUCCGGUACCUUCACCACAAACCUUAACAAAAAAAAUAUAAAUAAAUAAAUAAAUAAAAUUAGUCUGAAAUUAUUAAAGAAUGAAUUUGGAUUAAUAUUUUUUAAAGUAACUUUAAAAAAAAUGUAGACUAUCAUAAUUUAAUUUUAUGAAUAUUUUAACUUAAAAAUAUUUAGAUUCUGAUAAAUAGGUAUUUAUAUAAUUUUUGGGUGAAUUUGAUUUAUGGGCUCAUAAUGGUGGCCGACACACCCACGUGCGUGGGCCCCUGUGUUGUUAGUGCCUCACAGAUUCGUGGUGUUGGGCACGCCUGUGCUAUGCGUGUAUGUUUGUGUUGGUCGCGUCCAUGCGCAUAGUUGGGCCAACCUACUAACCCAGUGUUAAAUCCAGACGGAAUUUGCCCCAAAAUUGAGUUUUUGGUUAAAAAUAUUUAUAUUAUGAUAAAUAGGUAUUUAUAUAUUUUUUGGUGAAUUUGAUUUAUGGGCUCAUAAUGGUGGCCGACACACCCACGUGCAUGGGCCCCUGUGUUGUUAGUGCCUCACGCAUUGGUGGUGUUGGGCGCACCUGUGCUAUGCGUGUAUGUUUGUGCUGGGCGCGUCCAUGCGCACAGUUGGGCCAACCUACUAACCCAGUGUUAAAUCCAGACGGAAUUUGCCCCAAAAUUGAGUUUUCAGUUAAAACUUAUUUUUGCCCAAGGGUUGCAGCAAUUUAGGGUGAGUUUAAAACCUAAAAAUUGAUUUUUACUCCAAGAAUUAGAGUAGGUCUAAGGAUCAUCUCAUUUCUCCACUUAGUUAUAACAAAUUUUCACCGUAAAAUUUUCAAAAUCGGGAUUGUUCUAUCUUCUAAUCUUCAUUUGAAAAUCAUAUCUACAAAAAUAAUCAUUUGAAUCAGAUCAGUUAGUCAUCUAAAUGAAUGAAAUAAAUCAACGGUUCAUCAUGAAUAUGCUACUUUGUACCUACAUCGUUUGAUUUAUUUAAUAUAUUAAAUGACUAAACGAUAAAUUUCUACGGUGAAUAUACGUUAUUUGUAUGUGAGAGAAUAAGCACAUCCCAUAAAAUUAAGGGAGAUUGCAAAUAUUAUCCUAUUUUUAUUAGGCAUAUUAUGCUUUGGUCCUUACUUUUGGUCAACCACCAUAGCACCGGAAAAGCCGCCUUGGGUGGGUUUGCCAUCGGUGUAAACGUCAGCGUAUGUCCAGAUUUUCUUGUUGCAGUAUUGCUCAUUGUCUGUGUUGCAAGGGUUGCAGUUUCUGCAGCAACCAACAACGAGGCCAACUCCUACCACAUCUCCUACUCUGAACUUGGUCACAUCUGAUCCAGCCUCCACCACCUUACCAACCACUUCAUGCCUGUUCAUGGGCAACACACAUUAUAAUUAAUAAAAUCAUAAGCUGCACGUGUACGCAAGCUGAUUCUGACCAUUCUUCAUGCGUGAAUGUAGACCUCACAAAACAGGAACGGCCAGGAUCAGGUGUGAGCGUCUGGUUUUAGCACUUCUCUUGAUAGAAACAUAAAUAAAAGGAAGAAUGAUUUAUCAUACCCAGGAACCAGGGGAUAGUGUGACAUGCCAAGUUGAUUUUUUGCCUGGUGCGUAUCAGUGUGGCAAACUCCACAGAAUAGGACUUUGAUGUAAACAUCUUCUGGGCCUGUGUUUCUGCAUAUGGUUUUAAUAAAAAAGAUUCAGCUGCCACAUAAAAUAGAUCACUACUCCUCACUAUCUUUAUUUACCAAAUUUAGUAGAUAAGCGAACAUGUCGUACUACUUCAGUUCCAAAUACGAGAGAGAACUGAGAAAAUCGUUUAGUAAACAAAUUUAGCGAAUCUGUAUGUCAUACAGAAAGGGAGGGACAUAAGAUUUUAUUACCUAAUAGUGUAGGUAUAGGGUGAGAGAGUGCCAGAUGCGUCUCUUGCAGCCCAUCCUGUGGUUGUUCUCUCCGCUUCUAGGUUGCCCAUUUGAAUUUGUUUUGGAGAGAGAGAGAGAGAGAGAGAGAGAGAGGGGUUGGGUUGGUUGGUGAUCGUCUUUCAGAGAAGAGAGGCCAAGUUUUUGGGUAUUAGAAGAAGCGGAGUAAGGUAUUAAAUAGAGAAGGCCAAAGUUAGGUUAAGAAGUUGGACACCUAUGCUUUGUCUACUGAAAUUAAGAGAAGAAAAAAUUGGUUUCUUUGACAUCGGGACAUUUUUGAGGUCUAUACUUUUGACACGUGCAUUUCAUCCUCAUCGUUUUCAUCCAACGCAAGUAGAAAUAGUACCAUUUAGAUUUUAGUUCAAUUCUCCGAACAAAACCAAAUAUGAAAUUGUCUUUUGUUUUUGUCAAAAUAUGAAAUUGAAUAAAUGGUGAACUGUUAUAAAUAUGUAAGAGUUAGAGGGAUAAUCUUUUUAGUGAAUGAAAUGAAGCAGGUAUAAAAUGUCACACUGAAAAUAAUAACACAAGAGAAUAACAAAUAAAAGAUGGAGGAAGAGAUUUCUUU
rnacentral:lncRNA from 1 species